rnacentral:lncRNA from 1 species
CUUCCCGCAUCUUACACUCCACUGAAGUCACACCAACCUUCUCCCGGAUAGUCUCAUUCCGAACUCUAUCCCCUCGGGUCAGUCCACACAUCCAGCGCAACAUCCGCAUUUCUGCCACCUUCAUUUUUUGGAUGUGGGAGUUCUUAACUGGCCAACACUCCGCUCCAUACAGCAAGGCCGGACGGACUACCACCCUAUAGAAUUUGCCUUUAAGCUUGGGCGGCACCUUCUUAUCACACAGCACCCCCGAUGCGAGUUUCCACUUCAUCCAUCCCGCCCCAAUACGGUGCGAGACAUCCUCGUCAAUCUCACCGUUACUCUGGAUCACGGACCCGAGAUACUUGAACUUAUCCCUCUUCCCUACCUCCUGUGCUUCUAGCCUCACUACUACCUCAUUCUCCCGCCUCACGUCAUUAAACUUACAUUCCACAUACUCUGUCUUGGUUCUGCUCACCCUGAACCCUUUAGACUCCAGAGUUUGCCUCCACAACUCUAAUUUGUCAUUCACACCCCCUCGAGUGUCAUCUAUCAGGACUACAUCGUCUGCAAAAAGCAUACACCACGGCACCUCCCCUUGGAUACGCCGCGUCAACACCUCCAUUACUAACGCAAACAAAAAGGGACUAAGAGUAGAUCCUUGAUGCAAUCCUGUCAGGACAGUGAAAUGCUCUGAGUCUCCUCCCGCCGUCCUCACCUGGGUUUUCGCUCCCUCAUACAUAUCCUUAAUUAGUCUGAUAUAUGCCUGCGGUACUCCACUCACCUCCAAGCAUCUCCAAAGCACUUCCCUGGGGACUUUGUCGUACUCCUUUUCCAGGUCGAUGAACACCAUGUGCAGAUCCUUCUUCCUCUCCCUAUACUGCUCCACCAACCUCCGUACCAGGUGGAUUGCCUCCGUCGUCGAGCGGCCGGGCAUAAAAUGUUAUUAAAAUUUUAAGUAUAAAUAUAUCGUAUGAAUUUAGUUUGAAGUAUCUACGUUCCUCUAUUGCAACUUGCAAGUUAACAUUAUCUUAUUUUCGACUUUAUUACUCUUGUUUCAUUUAAUUUAGUUGUUUUCAAUAUUUAUAUUGUCCUCACUUUUAUCUUUUGAUAUUUCCUUUAUAGUUUUUAAUGUUGCAUUUAUUUAAUAUCAUUUUUUGAAAAGUUAAAAAAGAGAUAAUAUUCACUAUCAUUUCUAAAUUCAUUGACUUUCUUUAUUUUGUAUUUUUGCUUCGAACAAGCGUUGAUUCUUUUAUUUUUUUUCUGUAAAUAACUACCUAUAGAAAAGGGUAGAACAGUCAAUUUAUUGAACCAUAGAGCUUUCUAGACAAUUUUUCAAGAAACAGCAAAAGCUGAAAAAAAAUUGAAUAAAGAAUAAAAUAAUAUAGAGUCCAUUAAAAGCAAGAAACUACGGAGAAGCCGCUCCACUUUUUCACCUUCUCCCUAUUAUUAUUAUUAUUAUUAUUAUUAUCCUUAUUUUAUUAUUUAGCCUGUUCACUUUUAGUUAUUCACUUUAGAUAUUAUUUAUUUUUUUAAAAAUAAUAACUAGUAUAAAUAUUUAUUAUAAUAUUUAUAUUAAUUAAAAUUAAUCUUAUAUUUUGAAAAAUACUUUUAAGAAACAAGUAAUUAACGUUACAAUAAUUGCAUAUCCAAUUAAUUUACAUAGUAGAUUGAUAGAGUGAGAAUAAAGCAUCCGUAUAUUUUACUAUUACCUCCUAAAAAUUUUUUCGAGCUCGCUAGAAAUCAAAGCCUAUUAUAUCUCGCGCCAUUUGAAUAGAAAUAGAGAUAAUGUUUUUAUGGAUAUUCAAUGUUUAAAGUAAAAUAUGAAUAUAUAUAUAUAUAUAUAUAUAUAUAUAUAUAUAUGUAUUUUCUUAAUAUGCUUGAAAAAUGAAGUAAACUGAAAAUAUAUUUUUGAUAUUAAAAUUGAUUAUUUAUCAAUAAAUAUUUCUUAUCAUUUUUGUUUUGGUUGUAUGUAGUAUUAUAGUAUAAAGCAAAGAGGCAGAGAUCUCUUAUUUUUCGAUUCUCUCACUCUACAGUUUCCCGAGACAGAGACGCACAAUAGCUAUCCAAAGUUCCCUUGUACUAUAACAACUCUCGCUCUUUCAUCUUCUUCUCCGGUGGCGGCGACGUCUACGGCGGCGAAUCUCCACUCCUCCGGUAAGCAAUCUCCGGCAUCUAUUUUGAUUACGUAAUUUGUACGUAGAUCUUCUAGAAGCUUCUAUCGUACUUCCGAUUGUUCUAGAUCUUCGUUUUUUAAUCGUUGAUCGUGAGACUUCGUUUUGAUUUUUGAUUUUGAUUGAAUUUCAGGAGUAUUUUUUCAUUUUGAGGAAAUUUGGUUGGAUAUUUAUUAGAUUUUGUCGAUUCUGGAGGUUAUAAAUGGGAAAAGGAGGUGAAGAUUAUGGUAAAAGGGAGAAUUUAGGUGGUAAGAGUGUAUCAGAUAAGGAAGUUUUCCCGGCGUGGUCGAAAGACGUGAAGGAAUGUGAGGAGAAAUUCGAGGUGAAUAGGAAUUGUGGAUUGAGUGAGGAUGAGGUUGUUAAAAGGAGGCAGAUCUACGGUUUUAAUGAAUUGGAGAAGCACGAAGGGCAAUCGAUUUUAAGGUUGAUUUUAGAUCAGUUUAACGAUACGUUAGUUAGGAUUUUGCUUGGUGCUGCGGUGGUUUCAUUUAUUUUGGCUUGGUUAGAUGGAGAAAAAGGUGGUCAAAAGGAGAUCACGGCUUUCGUUGAGCCUUUAGUGAUUUUCUUGAUCUUAAUUGUUAAUGCUGCGGUUGGUGUUUGGCAAGAGAGUAAUGCCGAAAAGGCUUUGGAGGCUUUGAAGGAAAUUCAGUCAGAGACUGCAUGUGUGAUUAGGGAUGGGAAAAGGUUUUCUAGUUUGCCUGCUAAAGAGCUUGUACCGGGGGAUAUUGUUGAGUUGAAAGUCGGAGAUAAAGUACCAGCUGAUAUGAGGGUUUUGAGUUUGAUCAGUUCGACUCUGAGGCUUGAACAGGGAUCGUUGACGGGUGAGAGUGAGGCAGUUAGCAAGACCACUAAAGCUGUACCGGAAGAUGUUGAUAUUCAAGGGAAGAAAUGUAUGGUAUUUGCUGGAACGACUGUGGUGAAUGGAAAUUGUAUUUGUUUGGUUACUGAAAUAGGGAUGGAUACCGAAAUUGGGCAGGUGCACUCACAGAUUCAUGAAGCAUCACAACAAGAGGAAGAUACCCCGUUGAAGAAAAAGCUAAAUGAGUUUGGAGAAGCUUUAACUGCCAUAAUUGGUGUCAUCUGCGUGUUGGUGUGGCUGAUUAACGUGAAAUACUUCCUCACUUGGGAGUUUGUUGAUGGGUGGCCUAGGAAUUUCAAGUUUUCGUUCGAGAAGUGCACUUAUUAUUUUGAAAUUGCAGUGGCAUUGGCAGUUGCUGCGAUUCCAGAAGGUCUGCCUGCAGUUAUUACAACUUGUUUGGCACUUGGCACACGCAAGAUGGCUGCUAAGAAUGCGCUUGUUCGUAAAUUGCCUAGUGUAGAAACUCUUGGUUGUACAACUGUUAUUUGCUCGGACAAAACAGGAACAUUGACCACUAAUCAGAUGGCUGUGUCCAAGCUUGUUGCUAUGGGUGCCAAGCCUAACACAUUGCGAUCCUUCAUUGUUGAAGGGACCACCUAUGAUCCCUUUGAUGGAAAGAUACAAGAUUGGUCAACGGGUCGUAUGGACGCUAACCUCGAAAUGAUAGCGAAAAUUGCGGCUGUCUGCAAUGAUUCUGGAGUUGAAAAAUCUGGUCAGCACUAUGUUGCCAGUGGACUGCCCACUGAAGCAGCACUAAAGGUACUGUUUAUAUUUGAAUUGGAUUGCUUCUCUUUAUCUUUCCAGAUUCAUAUCUCUGCUCUCUAUCCACUAUGUGAGUGUAUUAUGCUAGACUAGUAUUCAGUUACUCCUAAGCUUUAUUUUGUUAGAUAUGGUUUAUCAUUGUUUGGAAUGUGGAUUCGUGAUUUAUCGGUGGAAUUUAAUUUCUGACAUCGACAUUGUUUAAUAUUUAUCUAUAAUUUGUUUCUGCUGGCCACCACCCCUCCCUGCCUGACACAAACAUAAGAAUGAAUUAAGUAAAUUAUCCCUGAUGUGCUUUUUUUUUUUUCAAAAAUACAGUUAUAUGCACUAAAAACUUUUUGUAUUCGCUUUCUUAAAGCUUUCUGGUGACUUAUUUAGAGUUUCUUGAUGUGAUAUAAGGUUCUGGUCGAGAAAAUGGGACUUCCUGAUGGCGUCAAUUCCAUUUCCUCUUCAAGUGACAAAGAUGGCCUCCGUGAGUUGUGGUUGCUGUUCUAUUAUGGUUAUGGUCUUCGUUUACACUGCAACAUUUUCUAACUUCAGUUAGCUGAAUGUAGGUUGCUCUUACACAUGGAACAAAAUUGAAAAGCGUAUUGGUACUCUUGAAUUUGACCGUGAUAGGAAAUCCAUGGGUGUCAUUACUACUUCUACAUCUGGAAGAAAGUCAUUGCUUGUGAAGGUGUGCUCUUUAUUUUCUUGGAUUCUCUAAUUCAUAUUGUGUUUCCUACACCUUUUAAUUGUUAUUGACGCUUUUGAAGCUCAAUGCAUCAACGGCAUGUAUAGUUUUGGUUCUAUGCAAAUACUAAUAUGGAUGCUUCUGUUGUUGCAAUUUAUAUUUUUGUGGCACUUACAUUUGGUGUUUCCUUUGGACUUUCUCUUUAUAGCAUUAGAAUUGACUUUUACUAUGCAAAUGGAUGGAACUGCUACUUUGGAUAUGUGUGAUUUUUCUCUUCAGAGGAUUCUCAUAGUAACACCCUGUAUGCCGAGGAUGUACAUUAUCAAAUAGCAAUUUUAGCACCACAACUUUCCUGUGGUUAGUGUGGUUAGUGUCGUCCUGAUCUAGGUCCAUAGUUGUCAAAAGUUGCUAAUCUUGGUUUGAUGUGUAUUGGGUGAAGUAUUGGAUCUUCAUUAGCUCAAUUAUGGACCCGAUGUAGCUAUAUAGCUGUUCACAGAGCCAUUGACAACACGUACAACAAUGGGGUUUGGGGAGAGCCAUUGACAACACCUACAACAAUGGGGUUUGGGGAGAGUGGGGCUUACGCUUACCCUAGCUUCUGUGGUGGAGAUGUCUCCAGUAGGUCCUCGGCUCAAGAAGACUGUUUCCAAAACAGGUUUGACAAAUAUAUACAAGUAAAAGCUAUAGUGGAAACUCCGUGGAAAAGAAAACACUUGACAACAAAAUAGGAAAGAUAAGUCAAGUAAAUGAACAACAAUAGUAAUACAAUUUAAGAACAAGAUAAUACUUAUUCCGUUUCAAUUUGUUUGUAUGGUUUUGACUUCUCACAGUUUGAAAGUGAAGAAGAUUUUUGAAUCUUAUGCUCUGAAAUUAAAGAUAAGUACAACAACAUACCCUGUAUAUUCCCACCAAGUGGGGUCCGGAGAGGGUAAGUGUACGCAUAGUGUUCAGGAAUGCGCUCGUAUAGUCGCAUAACAUGAUGAUGCGAAGCGAUGCGAGCUCCUCUCACUGCGUGUGGCUGAUGUGAGCGCAUCAUGUUGAUUUUAUUUUUAAGGUCAAUUUUAAAUUUAAAAAAGAGUUGCUUCAUAUUGAUUUUAUAUUUAGGGUUAAUUUUAAUUUUUUUUUAAAAAGGCUACUGCGAUGACUACCAUUGUUGCAGUUUUCUGAGGUUAACUUUGACGUCCACUGAGGAUUUACACAUGGUGUUCAUCGACCUAUAAAAGACGUAUGAUAAAGUCCUGAGGGAGGUUUUUUGGAGGUGCUUGGAGGUGAGAGGGGUCCUGGUGGCGUACAUCAGAGCUAUUAAGGACAUUUACGAUGGAGGGAAGACCCGGGUGAGAAUGGCGGGAGGAGACUCAAAGCAGUUUUCGAUCGUGACCAGGUUGCAUCAGGGAUCGACUCUUAGUCCGUUCCUUUUUGCAUUGGUGAUUGACGUGUUGACGCGGAGCCUUCAAGGCGAGGUGCCUUGGUGUAUGUUAUUUGCGGAUGAUGUGGUGCUGAUUGAUGAGACGCGAGGGGGUGUGAAUGGCAAAUUGGAGGUUUGGAGGCAAACCUUUGAGUCUAAGGGGUUUAGGUUGAGUAGGUCCAAAAUUGAGUAUUUAGAAUGUAAGUUUAGUAACUUGCGACAGGAGGACGAGGGAGUGGUGAGGUUGGACUCCCAGGAUGUCUGUAAGAUGGACAGUUUUAAGUAUCUUGGAUUUACGAUUUAGGGGAAUGGUGAGAUUGAUGAGGAUGUCUCUAAACGUAUUGGAGCAGGUUGGAUGAAGUAAAGACUAGCCUUGGGAGUGUUGUGUGAUAAGAAGGUGCCCCUUAAGCUUAAAGGCAAAUUCUAUAGAUUGGCAGUUUGUCCGGCCAUGUUGUAUGGUGCGGAGUGUUGGCCAGUCAAGCACUCGCACAUCCAAGAAUUGAAUGUGGCGGAAAUGAGAAUGUUGCGUUGGAUGUGUGGGCUUAUUAGAGGUGACAGAGUAAGAAAUGAGACUGUUCGGGAGAAGGUGGAGUGGUUUCAGUGGAAGACAAGUUGCGGGAAGGUAGACUGCGAUGGUUUGGGCAUGUGAUGAGGAGGAGUGCGGAUGCCCCAGUCCGGAGGUGUGAGAGGCUUGCUUUGGAUGGCUUCAGGAGGGGUAGAGGUAGGCCGAAGAAAUACUGGAGGGAGGUGAUUAGACAUGACAUGGAGCAACUCCAGCUGACUGUGGACAUGACCCUAGAUAGGAAGGUGUGGAGGUCGCGGAUAAGGGUUGAAGGCUAAUGCGGGGUGUGGGUUGUGUAGCUUGCCCUCUGGAGAGGGUUAGUAAGCUUAGGUCCGUGUUCAUAGUGUCCUUGUUAUGGGAGUGUAGGUUAUUACUAGGUGGGUGCACUAGGUCUUAUAUCUUAGUACCUAUUUUCUUAUUCCGUGUCGCCCUUAUGUCUCGUAUUUCAUAUUUCUCUGAUGUCUAUUUUAUUAUUUCUUAUUCCUGAUUUUCUAUUAUGUUUUCCAUCCCUUUGUUUACUGUUCUCUACUUUGAGCCGGGGGUCUAUCGAAAACAACCUCUCUACUUCCUCGGAGGUAGUGGUAUGGACUGCGUACAUCUUACCCUCCCCAGACCCCACUCUUGUGGGAAUACACUGUGUAUGUUGUUCUUGUUGUUGUGACUUCUUCUUCUUUACUGUGCGACUACCACUACUACGUCUUCUUCUUCGCUGGUUCACUUCAGUGAUGCGCUCGCAUCGCUUCAUGCUUCGCGUAAUGCGUGAUGCGGAGCCUUGUCGCUUUUUUCCGCAUUGCAGUCCAUACCACUACCUCAGAGGUGAGAUAGAGGGGCUGUUUCCGAUAGAUCCCCGGCCUAAUAGUUAAAGGACAAGAUACAAUGUAUCAAAAUGUCCUUUAAUAUUGGUGGUCUUAAGCAUGCCAUGUGGAAAGUUGAAACUGAAGUCCUCAAAAAGGAAGGCAUUCUUUCUAAAAUGAACUAAAAAAGAAAGUAAGACAAACAAAUUGGAGGGACAAAUAGAACAAUAAUAAUAGUAAUGCUGAUAAGUAGAAGAGGGGGAGCAGACAAGGUGCUCUAAGCUAGAACCGUGCUCUACCUUCCUAAAAAAAGUUAGAACCAUGCUCUACCACAGGGUGUUCACGGAGCCAUCAUUAUAGGAAAUUUAAAUUGCUGCAUGGUAAUUUUUAAUGAGAGGUACUAGGUUCUUGUGUGUGGUAACUAGGGGUGAUAUGUGUAGUUUCUACUUGUGCUCUUAGCUUUUAUUUUACAUGAUUAAAAGCUUGUCAAUUUUUUACCUACUCACGCUGUUUGUGUGUGGGUGUUCAUGGUUAGUAUAGGCUAGUUCUACGUGUUUUUGUCCACUAUUGAUUUUUUGGGGAUAUUUGCUUUGUGUGCUGUUUGGGAUUUAAUUAUCUAAGAUAUGUUGUUUCAUUUUCAGGGUGCAGUUGAAAAUCUGUUGGAAAGAAGCUCCUAUGUGCAGAUGCAAAAUGGUUCUGUUGUAGAAUUGGAUCGUUCUUCAAGGAAUCAUAUAUUGCAAAGCCUUCAUGAAAUGUCAUCCAAAGCAUUACGUGUCCUGGGUUUUGCAUACAAGGAGGAUCUGCCCGACUUUGCAACCUAUAAUGGUGAUGAAGACCAUCCAGCUCAUGAGCUCCUACUUAAUCCUUCUAAUUAUCCUUCCAUUGAGAGUGAUCUUAUAUUUGUUGGCUUGGCUGGGAUAAGGGUAAGUUAGUUAACUUGCUUUGUCUUGACUAUUUUUUGGGGUCCUAAUUCCUAAAACCUUCUUUUAUUGGGAAAUUCAAGACAUUGAACGAAUGCGUAUCAUCUUGUCACAGGAUCCUCCUAGAAAAGAGGUACGACGUGCAAUUGAGGAUUGCAGAGAAGCCGGCAUUCGAGUUAUGGUAAUUACAGGAGAUAACAAGAAUACAGCAGAAGCUAUUUGCCGUGAGAUAGGUGUCUUUGGAAGCCAUGAAGAUAUCAGUUCAAGGAGCUUAACUGGAAAAGAAUUUAUGGAGCUUGCAAACCCCCAAGCACAUAUAGGGCAGAGUGGAGGUCUCCUAUUUUCCAGAGCUGAGCCAAGGCAUAAACAAGAUAUAGUUAGAUUGCUUAAAGACGACGGUGAGGUGGUUGCGAUGACUGGGGAUGGAGUGAAUGAUGCACCUGCUCUAAAAUUGGCUGAUAUUGGAAUUGCAAUGGGAAUCGCUGGAACUGAGGUAAAAAAUGAUGAUCCUAGUAGUACUAGAAUUUGUGAACACUGUCAUUGGAGGCAUGUAUCUGGAAGAAUCUAUUUCCUGCAGUAUUUAACAGCAAACAAUAAUAGUACAUUUAACAGUGGUAGGCAUAAAGUAUAGUUUCUCUCUGCCCCACCAAUCAUCUCAUGAACUCUGGUCCUGGAUGAUUGUAUAAUGAUGUGUUUCCCAUGUUGAGGCUAACUUAUUACACUGUAUAUGCUCAUCUUAUUCUUGGGCUACUUCACUGUCAGUUGAUAUGCUUAUACUAAUAGAAACUUAACUUCGGUUUCCUACAUUAGUAUCUUUUAUUAUAUCAAAUUCUCAUACAACUUGAUUUGUCAUUUCCAAUACACAACUCCUGAAGUUUUUAAUGGGUUUGGGGUCAAAUGGAUCCAGUGGUUAGAUACAGGUAUAGAUACUGUUAGGUUCUCUAUCCUCACUAAUGUAUUGAUACUGUUAGGUUCUCUAUCCUCACUAAUGGAAACCCUGAAGUUUUUGUCAUGUUACUUAUGGCUGAUUUUUCUCCCAGGUGGCAAAGGAAGCAUCUGACAUGGUUUUGGCAGAUGAUAAUUUUAGUACAAUUGUAGCUGCUGUUGGUGAAGGCAGGUCCAUUUAUAACAACAUGAAGGCCUUCAUCAGGUUUAUUCUCUCUCAUCUCCUUCAGUUGGCAAUAUUUCUAUUGAUGGUACUCUUGAUUAGAUGUUAUUGUAUUUCUAUUAUUUUGGGUUCAGUAUUUGGCUUUUCAAUAUAUAUUCGACUAUGGUGCGUUGCAUUUAGCUAUAUGUAGAAGAGUGAGUUGACCUUUGCUGAACUAGGCAGAUAGACCCUUUCAGACUUGUGCUAUCUCCAGGCUGCUGCUUUCUGCAAAUCAUCACAAUCAAGACAACCUACUUUAGUGUGUUUAUCAUUCUAUUGGGAAGCUUUUCAUUGAGUAUGAUACGUCAUACAAUUACGCAAAUAAAUAUGCCAAUUCUUGCUUUUUAAUGUUUCAAAUAAAUCUCUUCUUGGAAGUUGGCAUGAUCCAACUAUGAGUUAUUUCUCAUUCUGCUCUAGAGUUUUUCUAUAAUAAUUUCCGUCCAUUAGAUUUCAUGUGAUAUGGUUUGAAGUGCCCAGUCUUGAAAAGCCAUAGCUUUUUCGCUAAAAGCAGUGAAGCAAGGAGUUUUGGUUUCAUGAGUGAUGCCAUGUGUUUCAGAUAGAUGUUUUUCUAAACAAUCAGCCGCAAAAUGAUCCAAACGCAGAAGUGGUUGGAUCUUUAAAUCUAAACUAUGAGGAGUUGGCUAAUAUUGACAUCAGUUGUUAUAUUGGAUGUUGGAAUUUAGUUGUUUUAGUUGCAGUUAGAUAAUUUUUAUUACUGAAUUUGUAUAUGUGGUAAUUUUCAAUUUUUCAUACUUCACUUCGGAGAAAUUCUUGUUUUAUGCUUCAAGUCUCAUGGACCUUGUUGUUUAUAAAAUCACUGGAAGUACCUAAAAGGUGUUAUCAGGGAAAGAUAACACCUGCUACUUAUGCUCGCACAUGCACAUUUGUAAUUCCUUUUUGGGUUGAGACAUGCAUUCAAACAGUUUGGAUGUUCUAACAAUGGAAUAUAUGUUACUGAAUGGGUUGUGGAGAACUUGGAUUAAGCUUUACUUCUUCUUAUUGAGUUGCAUGCGACUGGGUCCUUGUGUUAAUUGACUUGGAUAAGUUGGCUACCACCCUUUUGGACAACUUUCUUCUAGUGGCAGCUGUUGGUUCCAUGUUUUAUCGUUUUUAUUUAUUUAUUUAUUUUAGAAGGGAGUAUGUAGUUAAUAUUAAUUUGUUAGGAUGCAAUCCUUACAUUAUUUCUUUGAACUUUCUGAAUUAGCAUCUUUAGUCAGUGUAUGGCAUGAUACCAAAACUGACGGUGCAUCAUCAAUGAAGUGCCUAGAUUGACGUUUUACCUUGUUAUAGGUACAUGAUCUCCUCAAACAUUGGUGAGGUCGCUUCUAUUUUCCUUACUUCUGAGCUAGGCAUUCCUGAAGGUCUUAUCCCAGUUCAGCUCCUGCGGGUCAACCUGGUCACUGAUGGACCCCCUGCUACAGCAUUGGGAUUUAAUCCACCAGACAAGGAUAUAAUGAAGAAACAACCAAGGAGAAGUGAUGAUUCAUUGAUCAGUGCAUGGAUUUUAUUUCGCUAUCUGGUUUGCCCGCUAAUUAUUUAUUUUGUUUUCAUUUGUUUCCACCUCCUACUUUGUUUGCGAGAAUGAAAACCUCGUGCUUAUCAUUUCUAAAUGCAUCAAGCAGGUUAUUGGGUUGUAUGUUGGUGUAGCAACUGUGGGAAUUUUUAUCAUAUGGUUCACCCACGACUCUUUCCUAGGCAUUGAUUUAAGUGGAGAUGGCCACAGUCUUGUCACCUAUUCCCAGCUGUCUAAUUGGGGUGAGUGCAAAACCUGGAAUAAUUUCACCGCCUCACCUUUCACUGCAGGAUCACACGUGAUCAGUUUUGAUAAGCCGUGCGAUUACUUCGUGGAGGGCAAGGUCAAAGCCAUGACCCUUUCCCUGUCUGUAUUGGUUGCAAUUGAAAUGUUCAACUCCCUUAAUGCCCUUUCGGAAGAUGGAAGCCUUUUGACAAUGCCACCAUGGGUCAACCCAUGGCUUCUUUUGGCCAUGUCGGUCUCAUUUGGGUUGCACUUCUUGAUCCUCUACGUGCCUUUCCUUGCUCAAAUAUUUGGUAUCGUUCCACUGAGCCUGAACGAGUGGCUGUUAGUAUUGGCUGUUGCAUUACCAGUCAUAUUGAUUGAUGAGAUUUUGAAGUUCAUUGGAAGGUGCACAAGUGGUAUUCGAACAGGUGCAAGGAGUCCUACAAAGCAGAAGGAAGAGUAGAAGCAAAAAGCACAAAUGGUCAUCCAGUUGGAGCUGCUGUUCAAAACACCAUAAAUUGUGUUGGACAUAUUAUUAACAGAGCUUAUGUUAUUCAUACCCGCAAAUGGGGUUUGAUUAGCCUAUUCUCUUGGUCCUUCCUCUUUAACCCAACCCAAUCGCUGUUAAAUGUCGAGGGUUGGUGUGGACCUUGCCAGAUUUAAUUAGAUUCAUUAGUCAUUUUCUGAUACUCAGAUGAUAGAAUUAGUUUGAUAUUGAUGUUUUUUUCCUCAUGAAUAGUCUUUUCUUUGUCCAACAGGACAAUGAUAGCUAAAUCUGUCCUCCAAUUUCAACUUUGCUAUCCUGUUGCUGUUGGGUCAAUUGUUACAAGUUGAUAGACCUUUGCACUUGCUGGAUUUUGGACUUAGAAUAACCUAACCAAGUAGCGCCUAUCUUAAGCACCAAACAAACUAAAAAGCAUAUGCGAUAGUUGUUUGGUUGCACGUGUAAUGUUACUUUGUUUACGUGAAUAGUGCUGAGAUCUUCAGUACCAAGCAAUAUUAAAAAUGUUGGAUUUGUCACGCUAGGAAGAACCAAGUUCAGAUUAUGAUACUUCCAUCACGUUCCAUUCUUUUUGUAAGAUUACACUUUCAGCUCACAAAUUCAAUUUUUGAUUGCUCUCAAUGUUUUGAGUAUUUGCGCUCAUUUAUUAUUAUUAUUCUUAAGAGUCUUGAACGUGCUUUACGCGAAAAGAAGAAUUUACAAUAGUUUAACUUUACACGAGGUAUAAUUUUUUGUUUGAACUACCUAUUCCAAGUUCUUCAACAACUAUCACAUGAAUUUAGGUUGUUCUUCAUCCCAUUAAAGACGGGUCAGUCCAUUUCAUAGCUAUUCUUAAUAAUCGCGUUAGACCAUUAGAUAUAGAAAUUUACGUUAGUGAACAUUUUUGCCAUCCAGUUUAUCAGUACAGUGAAAGUAUAAACUAUCAAUACACUUCAAUUUUAUAUGAAUAACAUAUGUACAUUUGGCACAAAAUAUACGCAGCAAAAUUGGGUCAUUACCGAAUUCGUUGUUAGAUUAUCAGGUUCCUUGCACACAAUUUAAAAUUGGCAUAGAAGGAAUAGAGCUUUGACAUACAUUGUCCAUUGUCCAAACAUUCUGCUAACUCUAAAAAAAAAUAUUCUUGUACAAUAUUCACUUUUCUAAAAAUAAAUUCUCUUUUACUUGUCACUUUUGACAUGUCACUAAAAAAUAAUUAUUAAACUUUUCGUGUUUUACCCUUACCAUUAAUUACUUAUUUCCCUAAUAAUUUUUCAAGACCAAAUAGUACUAAACAUCAAUUAAUAUGUUUAAUUACUCCCACUAAAUUCUAUUUCAUCUAGACAAUUGCUAUAAAAAAAUUGCUUAAUUAUUCAAAUUAAGUAGCCCACCACCUUAAAUCUCAGAUUAGUGAAAAAUUCAAGGUUAACCGCCAGGUAAAUAUAUAUUAAUUACUAUUAUAUAUUUGCAACUAUCUACCAACACUAAAGUUGUCAAAUACACCAACUUUUCUCCAAUCCUCUUGCAAUUUCUGCAAAUUAACUUCAUUAUAAAAGGUGAACAACAUAUUUGCAAACCACAAAUUAGACAAAAUGUUCCAAAAAAUAUCAUAUGUUAUACUUUUUCUUUGUGCAAUUUAUGUAGUGCAGAGUCUCGAUCCUUAUCCUCCAUGUUCAUCUUGUAAAUGUAUUGGCAAUCAAUGUGCUGGAAAUGGGAUGUUUCCUCUAUGAGCUAAAUUGGAAUGGUCCGAAUUAACAUGUAUAUAUCCGACAACUGAUUUUGUCUGUCCUUUUCAUAUAUAUCAAUUUAGCGUUUAAACAUUAAUUCUUGAAUUUUUCACCUUAUUUUGUAACCUUUUUUUUUUUUUUUGAAUUUUCAAUAGGGAAACAUGAGAAAGACGCUGUGGCGCAAGUCAAAAAGACCAAUCCUUUUGAUACUCCUGUUGUUAUUUACAAACAAGUUACAAAUAUAGCAGAUAAUUGUUGUAAUAGAGUUUGGAUCCUUGUGGAUAAACCAGGUGGUAAUGAAAUUGUUACAAAUAUUCCUGCAGUUGGAUAAGGAGUUGAAAAUUCUCUGGGAUAUUUUGUUAUAAACCAAUUGUCCCACAUUGGAAAAAUAGAGAAAUGCUAAGGGGAUUAUAAGUCAAAUGGAUUCUCCCACUUAUUAGACUAGUUUUUUUGGGUUGGGCUCUCCCGUUUGGUUUAUAACACAGGUGCUUUCAUUGAGAGUCCUACUUUUGUAGAGCCGUGACUCGGAGUGCUGGCCUGCACUCUAGGAGUGGUGGCUUGGACCCAAGAGGGUGCCAGCCGUCACCAAUGAGGAUAAAUCCAUGUGUGGGGAGCCGCGCGUUGGGGCGUGACUCGUAGGGGUGGCCUAUGUGCCAAUAGUGGUGGCCUGGACCCAACAGGGCGCCAGCCGUGAUCAACUGGGCAUAGCCGUAACCAACGAGGAUCGAUCCACGCAUGGAGUAAUGACUCGGAGUGGUGGCCUGUGAGCCAAGAGUGGUGCCAGCCGAGACCAACAAGGUCGUUGGUUCUCAAGCGGAGACGAUUAUUAUGAACCAAUUGUGUCCCACAUUGAAAAAAUAGAGAAAUGCUAAGGAGAUUAUAAGCCAAAUGAGUUCUCCGACCUAUUAGACUAGUCUUUUGGGUUGGGCUCUCCCGUUUGGUUUAUAACAUAUUUAUUUUCAUUUUAUUAGAUCCGUCAAAGGUGCCGGAUGCUAGACCCUUGUGGUAUGAUUCCUUUUUGGACUUCAUGCUUAGUGAAAGUUGUAGUGGUUGCCUGGACCCAAGAGGGGUGCAAGCCGUGAUCAACUGGGCAUAGGCGUGAUCAACGAGGAUCGAUCCACGCAUGGAGUCACGACUCGGAGUGGUGGCCUGUGCGUCAGGAGUGGUGGCCUGGACCUAAGAAGGGUGCCAACCAUGACCAACUGGGCUCAGCUGUGACCAACGAGGUCGUUGGUUCUCAAGCGGAGAUAAUUAUUAUGAACCAAUUGUCCCACAUUGAAAAAAUAGAGAAAUGCUAAGGAGAUUAUAAGCCAAAUGAGUUCUCUCACCUAUUAAACUAGUCUUUUGGAUUGGACUCUCCCAUUUGGUUUAUAACAUAUUUAUUUUCAUUUUAUUAGAUCCGUCAAAGGUGCCGGAUGCUAGAUCCUUGUGGUAUGAUUCUUUUUUGGACUCCGCGCUUAGUAAAAGCUGUAGUGCGUUGGGUUGCUCUAUUAUUUCACUUCCAUCAAAGAAAAGAAAAAAAGUUUUAGUUUUGGCAAUUUGAUGUUCACUUUGUCAAAGUUAAUUGCAGAACUCAUCCACAAUUAUGUAUAUGUGAAUUCUUUUUCUACUCUAUGAUACAAAAUAAAAUAAAAAUUCAGUACAUAUUUAUGUGUAUCAAAUAUUUUUAUUAAAUCAAGUUAAUUUGCUAUUGUUAAAUGAUUUUAAUAGUUUUAAAAUGUGUGUUGACACUUAUAUCUAGAUAUAUAUUUUUUAACCUCUGUCACAAUUGACUUGAAAAUGUGAUCUAAAAGGAAAAAAGACACCCCAAAGUCCUUUCACUAGUGCAUCAUUUUUUUUAAUUUUUUUUUUCACUUUAUCAUAAGUAAUAUUUUUUGAAUUCUAAUUUGAAUUUAUUUCUUUUUUCAGUUAAUUUCAAAAUCAAAUUAUCCCUUUUAAAAUUUAAAAAUAAUUUAAUUUAACUUUUAAUUUGUCCCUAAUGAUAAAUUGUUAUAGUCACAUAAAUUUUGUGACUUGUUGAAGAACAUAAAUAUAAAAAAAAAUCUUUUUUAUUCUUUUAAUUUUGUGCUUAAUCAAAUAAGUUUAUAUAAAUUAAAACAUAGAUUAUUUUUUCGGAAAAUUUCAGAAAUAACAACUAUAGAGUUUUAAUUGUAAGUUUUAUAGCAACCCUUUCAAAAUUACAAAAAAUAGCAAUAUGUAUUUUGUAUUUGAUUAAACUGUUGCUAGUUAAAUACAUAUACAAUUAAAGAUUCUGUUCCUAAUUUAACUCCAAUCUGUUUUAGUUUAAUAUGGAAAAAACGAUUCCUUAAUUUAAGAAAUAUUUAAUUUGACAGAUUUCUUAACCUUUUACAGAUACCUUUUUAUUUAAUGACUCUAUUUUAACUACAACCAUUAUUUUACAGCAACAUAAUUCAAAAUUCAAAAACGUUUUUCAUAAUCUGCAACUCAUAUCAAUUUGAAAAAAACGAUGCUUCCAAAAUUUAUGUUCAUCGUCUAAUGUUUUGAGAAAAGUUUGAUAAGACAACGCUGUAAAUACAGGUAUCAAUAAAUAAAUAUGAUUUGUUUGUGAAUUUUCGAACUAUAUUUGUGAAAAUCGUUGGAAAAAUUGUAACAACAAUGGUUUGAUCAGUUCUCGAACAAAGUGGUUUGAUCGAUAAUUUUUUUUUUACAAAUUAAAUUUUUUCAUCGCGUUAUGUAGGUUGAACAUUGAUGUACAAUUGUUACAGUUUAUUUUGUAUUUUUUUUUUUGUUUUCAAUUAAGCAAUUUGUUCUUGUUGGAUUUCAUUUUGUAUAUACUAAUAAGUUAUUGUAUCAAAGGGUUCGAACAUUGUAAACCUGUAAUAAUCGUUGAACUGUAUAUUGAUACUUUUGUGGCUGCUUAUAUCAUGAAUGGAACCGGUAAGUCCUUCUUAUAUAUGUAUUUAACAUUACAUAUGCUGCCAGCUAUAUGUAAUUGUAAAAUACAUAUGCAGUCUGUUUAUGUGAUCACUAGUAGUUACUUUUAUGUAUUUUAGUUUACAUAUGCUGCCAGCUAUAUGUAUUUAAAAAAUACAUAUGCACUCUGUUUUAAGUGUUUGAUUGCAUUUGUUUUUUUAAAGAAAAAUAAAAUAAAAUAUGCAGGCCAUAUAUUUCUAAAAAUACAUAUUGAGACAUGCAAUAUACAUAUGCAGAGUUGGUAAAAUACAAUUACUAAACUAGAACAAUUACAAAUGUCAAAUAAAUAAUUGUUGUUAUAAUUUUAAUUUUAUUUUAAUAAUUUCAGGUUAUACCAGCCUCAGAGUAUGUCUAUACAGUACAUGACAAGGAUAAAUAUUUUAUUGUUUGCAUUAAGGAAAAAAAAUUCUUGCCAUGUAUGAUACAAGAAAACCAAGGAGCACACGGAAUUUGGCUCAAAACAGUCCAAACACACUCCAAAAAUAGUCCACUAAUUCAAAGAAUCGAGGACCCUUUUAAAGACCACUACCGGAUUUAAGAAUGAAAUACAAGAAGGACAAUAUAACUAGGUGUUUGACACUCUUUGCAGCCAAUAACAAACUAAGUUAACAACACAAGAUGAAACAACAAUGAGAACAACAACAACAACAACAAAAACAACUUUACAAUACAAGAUACAAAAUGGAUACAAGAUUACAAAAGAAAAAUAUAGAUAGAUAGACCACAUGAAGGUAUAAUAUUAAGAACCCAAUAAUGGUAACUCUUGGACCUUUAACACUACACACAACAAUAAACCUAUCUCUUAUAAAGACAAAAGAUCGGAAUCCACCUCCCAAGCAUCAAUGUUUCCAAGCAAAUGCAAACACAAGUGAUUCUACACUUGUCUAAGUCCUAAUUUCGAUUUUGGGUGCCUCAAGGAAAGAGGACUUGUGUUUCUUUGUCUUGUAAGACUUACAAUUUCAUUCAUUAACUAAAGAGAAAAGACCUAAAAUGUACUACUUACAGUAUAUUACAAAAGUAGAUAAAAAGACCACAUUACCCUUAAUGACCAAGGGUGGCCUUGGUGUGUUGGAAGACAAUAUGAAUUGCCCAAAAACCCUUAAAGCUAAGUGACCAAAAUGCCCUUAGUAAAGGGAAUCAAAACCGUGAUCCAACAAAGGUGGUCCAAACCCGAGAGUCCUUAAGUUUUCAAGGCUUCAAACAAUCUUCUACACUUGGGUUUGAUCAAUGGUAGGCUCAAAAGGUCCCCUCCAAGUAUGAUACCAUCCACUCCCUACGACCAAAUCUUAAUUCUUCACAUAGUGACUUUGAAUGAUGUCGUCAAAAGCUAAGGCAACCAUUAUUCUUGUAUCAUCCUCCUCUUCUUGAAAACGAUUCGACCUUGAAUCCAAACCUUGCAAAACCAAAGAGAGGGCAAACAAAUACAAACUCCUUAUGGAAUGAGGGUUAAGGUUAGCACAACAAAUCAUCUCAACAUGCCAAGGUUGCACAUAUUUGCAAUAUAACCAAGGAUCUUUUGAAUUAAAUAUAAAAAUCUCAAUAAAAGGUGCACAAAGGAUUUGGUUAUGGGAGUCACCAAGAGAUAAAAAAACUACAUAGGUCCUAAUGGCAUCAAAUAAUCCAUAAGGUAGAACUUCCUUCAUCUUAUGAGCCAUAAGACAUCAUUGCUCUUUUAUCUCAUCAAAAGACCACACCAAGGGGGGUGUUUCGAUUGGUUCUAAAGUCCAUAAAAUUUAUAUAGCAUUAUCACACACACACAUGGACAGGCCAAUAAACUUCCUACCUCGACAUAAAACAAAUCCAAAACUAGCAUGGAAAUCAUCAAAGGCAAAGAGGCAGUAUAGGAAAGAAUCACAUGCAAAGGAAUUUACGGGUGAAGAAUUAGUAUUUAAAUACAUACACAUUCUUUCCUUCAAACAACUAGACAACUUGGCAUCCACAAGUUGGAAUUCAUGCAAUUUAGGCACAGGUGUGUCAAACAAGGAUGGACAUUUAGGAACAUUACCCUAAGGAGUCAAUGACACAUUUGUCCUCGGGUUUUCAAGAAGGACUACACAUUCCUUAUCCAUAAGAGUACUCUCAUCUUUCAAAAAGAGAUUUCCAUCUUUAGGAGGAAUGUUGUCACACCAUAGUGGGUUAGCAUAUCGGCUAUAGCUUCCAAGGGAAACUAUACCUUCAUUUUCACCACUAGGCUCAUUAGGAGUGUUUAUAUCAUCUUCAAGUAAGACAUUAUACCUAAAGAGAGCAUGAUCUAUUUCAUGGGAAAAUUCGGAACAAACACAUUCAGCACUCUCUAAAAGCUCAAUAUCACGUUUUAAAGAGAUUUCAAGUACAAGAUUAUUCCAAGAAUAGCUCUUGGAUUCACUCCCUUUUUAUUGACCAACUUUUUCAAAUACUUCACUCACUUGAUUUCGCUUAAUAACAUCACACACAUAUUAAAGUGGUGGAAAAUUUUCACAAAUAGGUUGAUCAACACCAAUUACACAAGACAAUGUAUUUCGUUCAACAUAUAGGCUUCAACACUAGGUAGACAUAAAUCGAUCUUACAAAAAGAGUCAAUUUGGUCAUCAAUAGGAUCAACUAGUGUAUCCACACUCACAACAUGUACAUCAUUAACAAUAGGCAAAGAAUCAUUAGACUCACAAGUAAGUAAUCUACUACUCACACUCAAUGGGCUACUAGCCACACAAUUAUCAUUCACAUGCACAAAAGUGUAAGAGUUAGCUAUUUUACCUUGAAGUUCUUGAGUUGACUCUCUUUUGCCGUGUUGUGAAGGUCCUCCAAAAGCUUGGACAGCAACUUCACUUUGGCAUUGAUCUCCAUCACUUUCCAUGUCUGUACCUACACAAAUGUCCUUAGAAAUAGGAGGACAAACAAUGUUAGCUCAGUUUGGUGGCGAUCCCCUCACUUUACUCCACCAUAACCUCUUCUUUUUUCCACUCUCGGAUUACCACCUUGCACACCCUUACUCCUCUCAAUAUUUUUUCUCUCAUAAGCAUUUGGAUUGGAGUAAGUAUUCACUUUUCUUUGCAGCUCGGGCAGCAUGUAUGUCAUGAGGUGAUUUCCCCACCGGUCUCUUACAACAUUAGGCCAAUUUUGCAUAUUUGGAAUUCUAUGUUGUGCAAACCAAUCGACACCUAAGCAUACAUGACCAUAUGUCAAUGGAAGAAUAUCACACCACACCUCCUCAUGGUACUCAAAUUAGGAGAAGACAACUUUGACCCUCUCGAUAAUCUUAAACCCGUUCAAGAAGUAUAGAACGAGUAAAGUCUCGCAAAACAACCCCAAGUAGUCAACCAUAAAUGGAACAAUGUAUUUUCUAUAGUACCUAUCAUUUAACACAAGGAGGAAACUCGGUAUCCCACAAAUGGUCACUUUUCUGGAGUGUAUACUCCUUCUUGGAUCAAUAUUGUAAAGGACACGAGUACCCUUCGGUUUUGGAGAUGCAUCCCCUCUUCUUCUCGUUGAACAACCUCCAUUAGAGCUAGUAUACCCAUUCACACUAUAUCGAUCUUGAUAAGAAGUACUACAAGGUGGAGAAUAUGAAUCUUCACACUCCUCACAUGUACUCUCAUCAUAACUCUCAUAAGCUUUGUGAAUGAAAGGAUUAUACCUAACACCAAAUCUAGGUUUGGAGUGAGAAGUGUAGGACUCCUCACAUGCCCCAACGUUAUCAUAAGAUCCAUCACGAGGUCCUACAUCAUCUUCAAAGUCACCAUAAGCACUAGGCACUUCAUUCACUUUAUUUUCUCCCUCAAAACAGUAACUUUCAAAUCUGCCCAAGUUUCGAUCAUGGCUAUUUUCAUAGCCUCUGCAAUCUUCCUCAACUUUGUAGCCAUAAAACCCUUCACUACAACCAUAGUCUCCCAUGUUGUACUCACAAUAAUCCCCGGCGAUCGAAGACAUAUUCCCCUUAUAUCACCUUUUGAACCUACAAAAUGAACAAACAAGAUUAGUAGUAAAAGAUCCUCACCAACACUCGUAUUCACUCACUUUUGUGAUCCUCACAAUUGGAGCGGCGAAUAUUGAAAGUUGUUUAUACUCCGGUAGUCAAUAAGAUGUCAAUUCUACUUGGCGGACGGAAUAGAUUCUUGCUUGAUCGACUCAAGAAACAAAACAAAAUUUACUUAUGAACUUGAAACAAAGAAGUUACUACGAGUUAAAAAUGAAAAAUAUACACAAAUAACGAAGACACGAAGAAACGGAUUCAAUAAUUAAUCUACAACUAAGUAGGUGAUUACUAGUUGUUAAUUAAUUCUAGAAUCAAGACAUGAAACUAAUGAAACUAAGAAUCUAAAAUUUGAGCUCGAAAAUAUUGCUUGAACAGUAGCAGUGAUGACAUUGCAGCCACGUAUUGGGUCGAUUUUAUCAAGUGGUUAUUCUUAAAGGUUCAAGUCUUGGUCAAAAAUUAAUUUAGAUUGGUGGAAUUUGUUUUAGGAGGAAAAAUAAGUCUUGGAGCCUUUUUCAAUUUUCAAGACUCGACUUUUUCUUGUACUUCUCCUUAAAACAUGGACCCUUGUUUCAUGGGAAAGUGGUUGAAAAGUGAUAAAAAGUCUUUAGUGUGUAGGAAAAGUCUUUUGAGUCACAAGUACUACACCUUGAAACUUAGAUCUAUGUCUUGCAAGACUAACAUAAUACACACUCUUUUUCUUCAACUUCUAAGAUCAACAACCACUUUUUUUCAACAAUAUAUGGAGAUGGUGAAGAGCACCAAGAACACAAACUUUGAGUCUUAAAGUUCUAAGGUUCAAGUUGGACCUCCCAAACAACAUCUUCCCAAGCUUAAAUUCCACAACACAAUCUCCACAAUACACGUUCAAAAAUUAAACCAACAACACAUCACACGUUGAAGUCUCGAACCCGCAACAACAAUACCAACAACAAUCGGCCACACUUUGUUCACAUUAACAACAUCAACAUUUCAAGCUAAAAUCUAAGAUAUAGACUCAAUAUGUUAGUGAGAAACAAAACUAACACUUAGUGACAAUAAAGACAAGUAAAAAUAUUGGUCAAUACACAACAAGAACAUAAUUUUUGGCCAAGAACACAAAAUGGACAGCUUGCCAUUUUUUUUUGAAAUUUUCAGAUUUCAACUUUUUUUUUAACAAUUUUUUUUUUAAUUUUUCAACUAACAAGCCCAGGAUUGAUCUUGUGGGAACAAGAUCAAGCCAUGCUUUGAUACCAAAUGAUACAAGAAAACCAAAGAGCACACGGAAUUGGCUCAAAAUAGUCCAAACAUACUCCAAAAAUAGUCCACUAAUUUAAAGAAUCGAGGACCCUUUUGAAGACCACUCUCGAAUUCAAGAAUGAAAUACAAGAAGGAAAAUAUAACUAGGUGUUUGACACCCUUUGCAGCCAAUAACAAACUAAGUUAACAACACAAGAUGAAACAACAAUGAGAAGAACAACAACACCAACAAAAACGGCUUCACAAUACAAGAUCCAAAAUGGAUACAAGAUUACAAAAGAAAAAAAAUAGAUAGAUAGACCACAUGAAGGUAUAAUAUUAAGAACCCAAUAAUGGUAACUCUUGGACCCUUAACACUACACACAACAAUAAACCUAUCUCUUACAAAGACACAAGAUCGGAAUCCACCUCCCAAGCAUCAAUGUUUCCAAGCAAAUGCAAACACAAGUGAUUCUACANNNNNNNNNNNNNNNNNNNNNNACCCUUAAUGACCAAGGGUGGCCUUGGUGUGUUGGAAGACAAUAUGAAUUGUCCAAAAAGCCCUUAAAGCUAAGUAACCAAAAUGCCCUUAGUAAAGGGAACCAAAACCGUGAUCCAACAAAGGUGGUCCAAACCCGAGAGUCCUUAAGUCUUUAAAGCUCUAAACAAUCUUCUACACUUGGGUUUGAUCAAUGGUAGGCUCAAAAGGUCCCCUCCAAGUAUGAUCCCAUGCCCUCCAUGCGACCAAAGCUUGAUUCUUCACAUAGUGACUUUGAAUGAUGUCGUCAAAAACUAAGGAAGCCAUUAUUCUUGUAUCAAUGUAUUUCAAUAGGAUGAGAUACCGUGUGUGCAUGCUUAUGCAGUACUUGAUAGCAAGAAUUUUCAAAAGGGAUCAUAUUGCUCUGAUCUAUACAAAUCAAAAACUGUGUAAUAAAUAAAAUAAUUAAAAAUACAUAUAAUGACUUAUAAUUACGUAGCUAAAACUUUAAAUACAUUUUUUUAAAACAUAUGCAUUAAUCAUACAUAAAUAUGCAUUAUUCAUAGAUAUAUACACAUAUAUGAAAAAAUCUAUGGAUAAUUCAUAAAUACAUAUGCUUAAAAGGUAAAAUACAUAUAUGUUAAACUGGACAAAUACACAUACAUAUGCAGAGCCAAAAAAAUAUAUAUUCAGACAAAUGUGUGUGUGUGUGUAUAUAUAUAUAUGCAUAGCAGAAAAUAUAUAUUCAGACUUAUAAAAAACAUAUGCAGUAUUCAUAUAUACAUAUGCAUUAUGCAUAACUACAUAUGUGUUAAUUAUAUAUACAUAUGCAUUAUGCAUAACUACAUAUGUGUUAAUUAUAUAUACAUAUGCAUUAUGCAUAACAUAAAAGGAUACAACACACAUUUUUGGUAAAAUACUUAUGUAUUAAUCAUAAAUACUUAUGCAUUACUCAGAAAUACAUAUGCAUUACUCAGAAUUAUAUAUGCAUAAAAUGAAAAAUACAAAUGCAUAAAUAAAAAAUACAUAUAAUGACUGAAACAUACAUAUUCAUUAUUGAGAAUUAUAUUCAAAACUGGAAAACACAUAUUCAUACCAAAAUAUACAUAACAGUAGCAUAAAUUAAGCACGAACACUUGUGUUUUAGAAACUUAAACAUCAAAAAUCUAACAAUUACUGCAAAGAAAACAUUAAGAUUUCAAAUUUCAACGUUAAAGUGACAUAUGAAACCUAAGAAAUAUUCAACUAAAUUUUAGCCUACCUAAAGUUCACUAUUAUAAAAUACAACAAAUUCAAAAUAAUCUUCAAAUAUCAUGCACUUCAAUAUUUUCUAUUAUCCCAAUAUUUCUAGGAGGCCUUAUUGGUGCUUCAUCAUCACUUUGUGCCUUCUCUUCUUCUUUCCUCGAAUCAUAAUGCCACAAAAUUAAAGCAUAUCUCGUACGAAGAAGAUUUGGAUCAAAGUCAACAGUUGAAACACCGUCAACCGUUGGAACAUAUACAUGCAUUACAUUUGCCAUGUAUAUUUUGAUCACGCAAUACCCAUACAACACAAAAAUACAAUUAUAUUUCUAACAGUGCAACGUAUGUAUUUAAGAAAAUACAUCUUAAAAGUUACAUUACAUCUUAAAGUAACAUUACUGCUCCAUAUCUUAAUUAUCAAACAUCAAAAUACAAAUAUUGUCAUCACUGGUCCAUAGCUUAGUUAUCAAGCAUCAAUAUACAAACAUUGUCAUUUACUCUUAAUAAACAUAUACAACUGAGCAAAAAAUACAAAUAUUAACAGUACAAAUAAUAAAAUACAUAUCUAACAGAUAAUAAAUACAUUUCAUAUGAUUCCAGAAAAAUAAAUUACAUAUGUAUUUUAUUUAUAUAUAAUUUGUCCAAAUAUCAUACUUAUCAAUAAAAAAGAAGAACAUAUCAUAGUCAAAAACAUAUCUUAUCGGUAAACAAAACAGAUACAUAUCUAACUUGUACCAUGUAUAACAUUUACAUGUCAAAAUAGUGGUACUUAUGCAUUUACAAUAUACAUAUUAUAUUUACAUUGAAGCAUANNNNNNNNNNNNNNNNNNNNNNNNNNNNNNNNNNNNNNNNNNNNNNNNNNNNNNNNNNNNNNNNNNNNNUAUAUAUAUAUAUAUAUUUCAUGAAUAUACGAAUGGUACAAAUUUAACUUACAAGAAAAAUAUAUAACUGAACAUCAAUUAAAAACCUUAUCAGUAACAAAUACAAAUAUCUUACACAUACAAAAAUAAACACCUUAUAAAAUUAGCAACAAAACUACAAAAAUAAACACCUUAUAAAAUGUAUAUAUAAAAUACAUAUAUGAACAUAUUGUCCAGAAAUUAUAAAACUUUACACAUAUCAAAAUACCUCCUUCACUUUCUCUUCUUCAGAUUCAAAAUCAGAUGAAACGGGACUUGCAAUUUUACUAGAUUCCGCUUUUUCACCCGACUUUCUUUUUUCCACCGAUUUUUAAAUUUUUAUGAAUUUUGGGGAUGAAGAUUUUGACAAUGCUUUCCGUUUCAUGAUUUUCACAGUCUUUACAGGAUCUCUAUGCUGCUUCGAUCUCAACUCUUCAAUGCUAGUAGAAACAAGUUAACGUCUUUAUCUUGUGUUAAACCAAGACUAAACGACGAAAUUUCAUCGAAAACUAAAUUAAUCGGUUGAAUAUCUCUAACUGAACUACUACUAUUUGCAAAUUCUGUCAUUACAGUAGAAAUCCAAAAAAUACAACACGAAAAAAAAAAAAUUCAAAAAAUCACAUAAUCUUCAUGUAGAUUUCAGAUCCAACAUAAAAAGAGAAAGAAAUAAUUUUGUGUAGGUAAAAGAAAAACAAAAUAUUGGGAUCUGAAUAAACUACUACUACUUCUUCACUCUGUCAUUUUCAUCUUAUUAUUGAGUAAAAUCUACUGUUUUAUUUACUGUAAAGAGUUAAGCUUUUUGAAAAAUCAAAGACAAAAAAGGCUACCAUAUAUAAUUUUGACAGUGUUCAUGAAAGAUUACAAGAUUUAGAAAGAGAAAGAGAAAAAGAAGUGGGUGAAAGAGUCAACCAAACCUUUUUCUGCGCUCUUUUGGAUGUAAAAUAACAUACGAAGGUUCAAGAAAAAUGGAGACAAGUACAGAAAAGAAAAAUCAAACAGACCAAUUAGCAGAAGAAAUUUGAAAAAAUUGACGACAAAAAAACACAUAAUUUUUUUUUUUAUGAAAAAUAUAACAUGCAGUAACUCUAAAAAUAAACUUACCUUAAUAUAUGGAGAGAGUGUUUAUCAAGAUCUUGAGAGAAAAAUGAAAUUUGAAAAAAAAAAAAAAUCAGGGAAGUGCAAUUGGUAAAGUAGCAUGAAUAUAGGGUAAAGUAAAAAAAAGGAUUUAAAAACACGCACUUCUAAAAAUAAAGGUAAAAUAUUGCUAGUUUUGUUAUUAAUUGUAAUUUUGAGAAACUAUUGCUAUUAGUUUGUCUUAAGAUUAUUAGUUUGUGUAGUUUUUUCUUUUUCUUUUUUGGUUAAUUGAGGAAGACAACAAGGGGCCAAGACCUUGAAGACUACGUGAACGCAACUUUUGCAUAAGCAUGAAAGCUUAUUAUUAGAUUUUUUUAACUAUUUAUCCUUAGAGAUAUUUACCUAGUUAUUACUCCCCUAUUUCUAUUUAUUUGUUUUAUAUUUUUUAGUCUGUUUCAAAAAAAUUUCUUUUCUUUAUAGGAAAUUCUUCAAUUUUAAUUUUACAUGCGACAUAUUUAACAUAAGACUAAAAGAUAUUUUAAUUUAUUUUAUAUAUAUCUUUAGUUUAUGCCUACAUGAUUUAAAAAAAAAAAUAAUUCUAAAACUAUCAAGUCAAAACCACACAAAUGAAUUGAAAGGGGGUGGGGCUGGGUAUUAGAUUAUAAGCAGGUUCUUUUGUACCCAACAUUUUAGCCUUUAGGAGUCUUUGGCGUGCCUUUUCUGCUAAUUAGUAAGCAAUAUACUAGCUGAAACGUUAAACUAUACAUUUUAGAAUUUCUCUUUUGACUAAUACUCUAACCAUACAUCCUCAGAUCUAAUUUUAUUUAAACUGGAUAUCAUCAAGCCAUUCUAACAGAUCAUAGAGUAAAUUUUAACUCAUCACACUAUUCAAUAUCUCAACUUCAUGGAGCUUUCUAAGAUUUUAGUUUCAUUUUUUGGUCUUCAAUUCUUACUUUUUCUGUCACCAAGCCAUGCAGUGCCUGGAAAUUCCAAUACAUUUAGGGAAUACAUUGGAGCAGAGUUUAAUGGUGUCAAGUUUAGUGAUGUCCCUAUUCGCUCUGGUGUCGAAUUUCACUUCAUUCUCUCCUUUGCUAUCGACUACACUACAUCUUCUCCGGCUCCAACAAAUGGUCAAUUCAACAUCUUUUGGGACACAGAUAACCUCACCCCUUCUGCUGUUUCCGCGAUUAAAGACCAACAUACUAAUGUUAAAGUAGCAUUGAGCUUAGGAGGGGACAGUGUUGGUGGAAGCAGCGCCUAUUUCAACCCUUCUUCAGUUGAUUCUUGGGUUUCAAAUGCUGUCUCUUCUCUUACAGAUAUCAUUAAGCAAUACAAUUUGGAUGGAAUUGAUAUCGACUAUGAACAUUUCCAAGCUGACCCUGACACGUUUGCUGAGUGCAUAGGUAAGCUAAUUACAACUCUGAAAAACAACGGAGUUAUAUCAUUUUCUUCCAUAGCUCCGUUUGAUGAUGAUGAAGUUCAAAGUCACUACAAAGCGCUAUGGAAAAGCUACGGUCACAUUAUAGACUAUGUUAACUUCCAAUUUUAUGCGUAUGAUGAAGGAACCACUGUGUCUCAAUUCAUGGACUAUUUUUCUACUCAAAGAUCAAAUUACGAAGCGGGGAAGAUCUUGGUCAGCUUCGCCACGGAUGGGAGUGGUGGAUUAUCUCCAGAAAAUGGAUUCUUCACUGCCUGCAGUAAGCUUAAAAGUAAAGGAGAGUUGGCUGGAAUAUUUGUGUGGAGUGCUGAUGAUUCAAAAUCAAAUGGUUUCAAAUAUGAGAAGCAAUCACAAGCAAUAUUGGGCAUACCCCACUAGUAAUUUCAUCUCCUAUGUAAUAAAUAUUGUAACAGAUAUACAACUUUAAAAGCUAUGCACCUCUUUGUUUGUACAAUAUUCUAGGGAUUUGAAUCAAUAUAUAUACUAAAUACUAUUUUCUCCGUUUAAAACAAAAUGAUCUACUUUAACUCAACAUAAAAUUUAAGAAAAUAAAGAAAAUUUUUGAAUUUAUAGCUUUAAAUCAAAAUUAUAUCAAAUGUAUCAAAAUGCCCUUUAAUAUUGUGGCUCUAAAUAUGUCAUUUGGAAAGUUGAAAUUAAAGUACUAUAAAAAAAAAGAAAGAAAUCAUUCUUUUUAAAACGGACUAAAAAAAGUAAGUUAUUCUUUUUUAAACGGAGGGAUAAUUUAUGAAUAUUCUAGGACUUAGGAGUAGUACUAGCCAUCCAAUCGUAGUAACUCAGCAAUUGCCUCCUUACAGGGUAGAACAACUAGCAAUGGUAUUAUUGGGAAACAACGAUAAAAUAAUAAUAACCACAAUGAAAAAAUAAUAAUAAUAACAAUAAUAUUAUUUAACUAUUGAUAAAAUAUUAUAUUAAUAAUAUUAACAAUACAAUAAAAUAACAAUGUAUAAUAUUAUUGCUACCUUAGUGAUAAUACUAUAAUCAAAAUGACAAUUAUAAUAGUAAUCUAAUUGCUUCUUAACCCGUUAAUAUAUAAUUAUACUUGAGUCGUGUUACACACUAUCCUAAGAAACUAUUUUUUUCAGCAAUGUGAAAUAUUUUUCCACGAUUAAACAAACACUUCCCUGAUUAAUUAGAGAAUAUUCAGAAUUAAAUAAAUUUUUCUUAAUUAAUCCAAAGAUACAAAAAUCAAUAAAAUUAUUAAUACAAAUACCAACAAGUUAAAUUAAAUUAUAAAACUCUUUAAUAAAUAAUGAUAUAAUAAGAAUGAAAGAAGGAAAUUGAGGGAGUUAAAACUAAAGCAGAAGGAAAAAAUAUGUAUUAGUUACUGUUGGAAGUAUAUACUAUAUAUAUAAUUUUGCAAAAGAAAGAAUGCUAAUAUAGCAUAGUUGAGGCGGCAAAUAUGAGGCGGUGGACAACAUUUUUACUUUUCUUUUUUUCUUUCUCCGCUAGUAAUGAAAUAUCUUUUAAAACAUAUUUUUUGAUUAGCAAAGUAAAUUUUCUCAAGUAUAUCUUUUAAGAUAUUUAAAGACAUGAUUUUUUUUUAAUAAACUUCAAAUAUAAAUUAUUUUAAAAUAACUAAAUAAUUUUCUAAUAAUCUCCACAUUAUUUCAAAAUAAUUUAUAGAAAAAGAAUUUUAACUUGCUGGAUUUGUAUGGAUAAAAUGCAGUAGGUUUGGUGUCUUCUGGACUAUGAACUAUACUUAGAUCAAUAAAAUUUAACUUAUAAAAUUACUGAUGAAAUAUAAUAUUUUUAUGAACCAAAUAAUUUUUGUUGUAAGCCAAAGAUCUUAUCAAUCACAUUUUGACCAUAAUUUUGUUGUUCAACGCGGUUUUGCGCCAAUAGGUCAUGUGCGCUCCUGGUAUUCAUGAGAGCUCUAGAGACUAAGGCCAAAAGUCUCAUAGGAACGGCCUCAUUCCACUUCUCAUAUAGGUGAAUUUAUCAAGUGUACACUGCUUUAAAUACACUAUCCAUAAGGACUAUGAAUUCAUUAAGAGUCAAUAACUCAUCCCUCCAUUUUAUUAGCAGUUCAAGCACUCUCAAUAAGUGCGCAGAAUCAAUAUCGACUUGUUAUUACCCAUAUGAACCUACUUCAUGGGAUCUCCAAUCACAUAGGUUAGGUUACCAUCUCUAUUGACAAUCAUAUUGACCUUAACCCCAUCUCUUUUGAGGUUUGAAGAAUUAAUUUUCUUCCCAUAGGUUUAUUCAGUGAAUUGGCCGAAUUCAAUUCUGACUUCACAUAAUCAAUGAAAAUUAUUCAAUCUCUCAGCAAUUGCUUAAUAACAUCAUGCCUCAAUUUCAUAUGUCUAUUCUUACAACUGUAAGAUUUAUUCUUCGCAAUAGCAAUUGCGGCUUGAGAAUCACAGUGUAUAUACACAGGAGGCAUCAAAUCAUUCCUUUUUAAAGGAUAUUAGACAAUAGAUCAUCCUUUUUCAAAGAGAUAUUAGACAACAGAUCAUCCUUUUUCAAAGAAAUAUCAGACAACAGAUCAUCCUUAUUCAAAGGGCUGUGAGGCAACAGAUCAUCCUUUUUCAAAGGGCUAUGAGGCAACAGAUCAUUCUUUUUUAAAAGGGAUAUUUGCUAAGAAAUUUCUUAGCCAUUCAGCCUCAGUACCAGCUAACUCUAGAGCCACAAACUCUUAUUCCAUAGUUGAUCUAGCAAUGAUCGUCUGCUUAGCUGAUCUCCAUGAUACUGCGCCACCACCAAGCGUGAACGCAUAACCACUAGUGAAUUUUGUCUCGUUUGAAUCAGAGAUUCAAUUUGCAUCACAAUAACCUUCUAAAGUUGAAGGAAAUCCACUAUAUAAGAUACCAUAAUUCACGGUUCCUUUCAAAUAUUUCAUCAGUCGUAUUUGUUGACACCCAAUUUUGACUCUCCCUUUUUCCUUUAAUUACUUUUCCGAUGCUUCUUGGCCCUAAAAAAAAAAAAUUAACUAAAAAUAAGAUUUGGUAUUUCUGUUUCUAUUUCUACAAGUUUUAAUAAAAAGAGAAUUUACUUUCAUUUAUAAAAUUAUUUUAAUUGAAUAUAUUUAAAUAUUUUUUGACAUCAAAAUCGCAAAUAUAUAUCUUUUGAUAGUCGCAUCCGCAUUCUUUCUAACUGUAUUUUUGAGGAGUAUUAUGACCUUAUAUGUAUAUAUUUUUACUACAUAAAAUAUAUCUUUUACAAAAUGUACAUAUAUUUUUAUUUUUUAUGUAUUUUAUUAUAUCCUUAUUUUCACACACAUAUAUAUACAUAUAUACGUAUUUUAUUAAUAGGAAAGUCACAAAAUAUUAAGUCGGAUGUCUGUACAAAUUAUGUCUGCAAUUUAUAUACGUUAAACUAAUAAUAGUUUUGAAUAAUUUUCAGAAUAUCAGGGAGCAUCGAUAAAUUUAAUAGAAAAAGAGUAUUCGGGCUAACAAUAAUCCAACUUUUUUAUUUUAUUUUAUUUUACCCGAACCCAACUCCUAUUUUAUGAAAUUAAUCCAGUCCGUUAAUUCUUCUUUCCAAUCCGAGAGUCCCGAAUUUUCAAAUGUUAAUGUAUAUAUAUAUAUAUAUUUGAAUUAGAACUUGUCCGGUCAAAAUUGAAUGGGUCCAAAAAAAUGAUCUUUUCUUUUAUUAACGACUCAUGUGUAUACAUUUAUCAGUACAUAUACAUAUUCUCUUAUUUACCAUUUUUAUUGUUAUUAUUAUUUCAGAACCGUCCGAUCAAAAGAUCGACAGAUCACAAUUGGGUCAACAAAUACAUGUCUGUCCCCUUCUCAGGAAUUAAAUGCGCCCAGCUGUUCCACAGAAGGGAGCAACGAUACCUCCCAUCAUCUUUCCAAAGCAGUGACUAAACGCCCCUUCCUUCUCCCUUCUCUUCUCUAUCUAUCUCCUCCACCCUUAAACCAUGAGAACCCUAAUUCUUCAUAGCCUGCUGCCGCUCAGCUUUACUGCCAAAAAUCUCCCAAUUGUACACCGUUCAACCCAUGAAAUUGAAAGAUGCAGGGGAGGACAGUCCCCAAAUGGUGUUAUAGCUUAUUUUCGAUUUCAAAUUCGUAUCUUGAAGUCCGAAAAUCACCAAAAUGGAGAUCUAAAAGCUGUGAAGUUUGGUUUUCGAAUGGGGAUUUUCUUCAUAGGGAGUUUCGCCCGUUGAAACUCUUUUCUUACGUUUAAAUCCGAUCUUUCACGUUCGAAUUUUGAGUAUAAAUACCUAUGCAAAUAUGGUUCAAAAGCAGGGGUUGAAGUUGAAGAUCAGUAAAAAAAAAAAGAGUGAGUCUUAAGAGAAGGGAAAGAGAUCAAAAAACAGAUAAGAAAAAAAGAGAAAAACAGAGUUCGGAGUGGUGGUUCUGGUAAAGGAAAAUUGAAAAAUUACAGGUUCUAUUUCUUCUUUUUCGGCCUAAAGUCGAGUUUUCGGAGUUGGUUUCGUUGCGAGAAAAUCCUAGACAUCAAAGCCCCAGUUUCGUUGCACCACACAAGGUGCGAAAUUCCUCUUUUCAUUUCACUUUUUUUUUAUAUCGUUUUAAUUUAUUGUUUGAGUUUGGUAGGUUUUUGUUGUGUGUGUUCAUUUUGGUUUGUUUUGUUGGAUGAUUGGAGUUGAUUGUUGUGGUAAAUUGGUUGUUGAUGUUAAAAGGAGUGUCUUGCUGCAAAUUCGAAUUAGUGAGGAUGUACAUUUUUUUGCCUUUUCGCUUCACGUUUAUUUGUUAAUAGCUAGAUAAGUUGUUAAUAAGGUGAUUGAUGUUUUGUUGACUUCUUAGUACUUUGUUGAUGUACGACGCGGUCUGCUCAAGGGAUCGUAUUAGCGAUGUGUAAAGAAUAUCGAGUAGAAAGAAGUGAUCCCGGUCAAAAUCUGGAGUUUGUUAAUUAAUAAAAUGGGUUCCUGCAGGUAAUUUUUUCAAAUUGAGUUGCCUUUUCAAUUUUUUGAAGGUAGAACAUGAAAUGAUUCUACAACCUUACCUGCUUAAAUGCUUGAUUGGUCGUGCUUUAUACACAAUAAUAUAACUUGUGAAUAUCCAUAAUAACUCAUGCUAAUUUGUGAAUGUGGGUCUGGUAUAUUGCUGUCAUGGUUGACUUCGCAGAUGCACUUUGUCUUAUUGUGGUCCUCAUGAUACUUGCCUUACUGCUUCUAUAACAGUAAUAUAUAUGGCACUAUUAGCAUGGAUGUUUCAUGAUAUACUUAAGUAGGUAAUCAGAGAGGGGCCAUAAUAUAUCAUUGUCAUGAUAUAACAAUAAUGUUUAUUGCAUUAGAUAAUGAAAUAUGUUUUAAUUUGGCUGAGAAUCUGUGUGCCUAAUCUCUUUUAUACCAAAGACAUCGAUGGAAAAGCUCUCGAAGCUUUAUUAGAAUAGGUUUAUGUGGAUUAUACCCCUGUUUGACGUAGAGUAGUUGUUCUCAACAGGUUAUUGUCUCUUUUAUUUUAUUUUUUUAUCCUCACCCCUUGUUAUUGUUUCUCUGCAUUCAUAUUGUUACUGAAAACAAGUUCGUAUGCAUAUGUCUGUGCCUAUUCAACUAGUGUCUGUCCAACAUAUGUAUGCUCCAUUGAAGUUAAUAUGGUAAAGAUUCUUGUCGUUGUAUUAAUGACCAAUGACGCUAAAUUCGGACUUCUGAAUCCCAUUGGAGAAUCUGCAAUCAAUAACUAGAGUUCAAUGGAUUACUGGAUCUAAUCGCAAGCUGUUCGUAUUAGAGAGUAAUAAGUAGUUAUGUUUUUAUUUCGGAGUCAUAAAUAAAUAUAUAUAUGAUAAACGCUGAUGUUUAGAUAUAUUAAUUCACUUUAAAUUUGAUUGCUAAUUCUUAUAUUUCCUUUGAUGCAUGAGACAUGAAUUCGUACUCCAUUUAUCCUCGCAUUCAAACUUCAUCGUGUCCGAGCCUCAACCAAAGUCCCCAAAACGGAUACAAAAAAGCUAAGCUGUAUAUGAGUGUAUACAGAGGAUAUACAUCAUAUAUACAAAACGCUGAGAAAAUAUAUUCAUUAUACCUUAAUCAUUUUUUACCGUGGUGUCCGGGAUAGCUUGUGCGCAUCUCAAAUAAUUCCACGGGACAUAUACCCCCUAACACACACAUUCUUCAUGACUUUAUUGGCCACUGUACCGGUGCUUUUUCCUUUGAAUGUCUUUGGGUCAGUUUUACUGUAAAUAAAGAAUGGCUAGCAACAUUUUCUGUAGAAUGGAGAUACCUUUCUUUGCAUAAAACUUUUUAUAAAUUUGUACUUUUUGUUCAUUUUUUGAUUUUUCGAAAUAACUUGAUUGAUUUAGGUUAUUGGUACUUUCGAUUCAUAAAGUGAACUAGGUUAAAUUUUAGAAUUGUUUCGGUCCAUUGAAACUUCGGUCUAAGAAAAGGAAUGAUAGUCGCAAUUUACGUAUAUCUAUGUCAUGUAUAGUGUCAUUAAUUUAGGGGCUGUUCUUCUCCUAAUCUUCGUCGUCUUUGCGGGAAAGUAAAGAAAAGGAGAUAGAAUUCUAACUUUCAAAAUCGUUUCAUAGCAAUAUACAUAGCCUCAAACAAAUGUUUUUCUUUUAGAUUUUGAUGUAACCUGGCUACCAUAUGAAUGUUGCAUGUUGAUGUCUUUUUAGAUGGCAAAUAGGACGCUAGGAAGUAAAUAUGCAGAAUUAAUUAAAACCAUAUUGGUUUUACAUAUAGCAUCUCUCGACCAACUCUUUAUAGUUAGAAGAGUCCGAUUUGUGUCCACAUUUGAUCCAAUAUAUGUUUAUUUUGGUCCACCUUGUCAAUGUGUUCAAGAUUUCCAUCAAGUGUUUAUCAGUCUGUACUAAAUCUAAUUGCUAGUAUCCAUAUUUAUUUAAGUUUGCUUUGUGUUUGGCUAAGCUAAUUUCGUACUUAAUUCUCCUGUUCGAAUGAUAGAUUUGUUUAAAACUGAAAUUUACUUUUGAAAUUUGUAUUUGACUUUCCCAUUUGGAAUUGUAAAAGGACAUUGUCGAGAUUCUUCAAGGUUAUUUUUCAGCUUUCUCUUUUGAGAAAAUUAGCUCCCAAUAGCAUUUUAUACCUCUUAACAUUAGAUUGUGUAUUAAUAUAAUGAUAAGUCAUUCACUGCCAUGCAUAUUGCGGAUAAGAUUCCGAUUAAAAAAAAAAUAGAUAGGCUUUGUGUCCGAGAUUUGAAACUCUAUAGGUUAAAUUUCCGUCACUUUUUUAAGAAGAUGUUGAAGUUUAAAGGGGUUUGAUCGACUUGGGUUAAGGUUAUCUUGCUUGUCGUUUCUGCUUUGGCUAAAGUUUCACUUAAACACUCACUCCCCACUUUGAUGCCUAAAGUCAUUAUUUUGAAGAGAAGAUCGAUCAAUUUCUAGUUUGUCAAAAAAAUAAAAUUCAAUUCUUCGAAUUGUAUAGAAAAUGUUAGAAUCGUGUUCAAGUAACAGAUCCUUGCUACCCAGAUUUUGAAGUCAAUUUCAUGCAUUUUUAAUUUAUAGUCAUCCUUGGUGAUGUCCUUGAACUAUAUGGCGUUAUUUCAUUCCGUUAAUUUCAGCUAGUAUUACUUAAUUUUCCUAAUGUGUUGCUCGACUCAUUUGGUUACAAGUUAUAUUUCGUUGUUCAUUUAUUUUACCCAAAUUUAAUUACUAAUUCUUUUUCGUUUCUUUUUUAUAUACACUCGGAAGUUGGGGUUCCACAAUGGAACUUAUUAUUUUUUUUGACCCAAGCAUUGGGUCAAACGCUACUAGGAUCGCAGAGCCUCAGAGUCGCAAGAAUUAAGAGAUUAAGCCUCUAAAUAGAGUCUAGUAUUUCUUACCUAUGGUUAAUUUGUUUUGAUUUAUUUAUAUAACUAACUCUUAUUGUUGAAGUUGUUGGAUUAUUGAGCCUAUGAUUGCUUUAUUAUUCAUAUUUCCUUCACGGGAGUGGCUUUAAUUUUCGCAAAUAACGAAUGGUUAUUACUGGAUAAAGUACAUUUUCAGAACUUACCAUCAAUACUCUUAAAUGAGAUUAGCAUAGCAACCAUCAAGUUUUUCUUAAAAAUAUAACAAAAAUAAAAAAUAGAAUUUUAGUGUCAACUUAGCCGAUAAAUAAGUUAGUAAAAUUCAGCUUUUUGAAAAGGAGUCACCCGCUAAUUUUAACUUAUUUGUUACGCUAUUUUAUCUUUUCAACGCUUAAAUUUUCAGUUUUCAGGUUCAAGAAAAUAAGGUAUAUAUAUAUUCAUCCGCUACCGCGUUCAAGGUAUAUCAUUUCAUACAAUAAUUAUUUUGUUACUAUUUUUGACAGUUAUUAUUAUUAAUAUUAAUAUUAUUAUUAUUAUUAUUAUUAUUAUUAUUAUUAUUAUUAUUAUGAUUGUCAUAUUUAUUAUUAUUAUUAUUAUUAUUAUUAUUAUUAUUAUUAUUAUUAUUAUUAUUAUUAUUAUUAUUAUUAUUAUUAUUAUUAUUAUUAUUAUUAUUAUUGUCAUAUCUAAACUAUCGUCAUUAUUUUAAUUCAUUAUUAUUAUUGUUAUUACUACUGUUAUUAUUAUCAUCAUAAUUGUUAUUACUAUCACUAUUACUUAUUCAUAUUUUUCACACAUCCAUAAUCCAACAUUCAUUUUUUUACCCUUUUGAAAGUACGUUUCACAAAUAAAUUCUCAUACCAUAAGAUACUUUAAUUACUCCAUAAAUAAUUAUAGUUAACUAUUUAAAUCCACAUAUCUCUCCAAUUUCUCCUAUAGAAUUACAAGAUUUUAAAUUUUUAUAAUAUAUAACAUUAUAUUGUCAUCCUUUUCAUACUUAAAAUGCAUGUAUAUUUUGCGAUAAUUGCACUACUACCUUUGUACGCCAUAGCGUUAUGUUUGAUAUUCUUUAAAUUUUCUUUUGAAUAAUAAGUAAUAAUAAAAUUUUCUUAUCACCAUUUUAAGCAGAAUGACAAAAUAAAUUUUUCCUAAUAUUUUCCUAAACUAAGCAUAAGGACUAUCUUUGGAUAGGCUCUGAGAGGUCCCUAACACCUUCCUCUCGAGUAACCAAAACCCUUACUCAGAAUCUCAAAAUGUUUUCGAUAGACUAAAAUAGAGUUUUUAUAACAAAAAAUGGUUUUUUCCUAAUUUUCCUAAAAAGUUAGGUGACGACUCUAAAAAAUAAUUUUUAAACCCAAGAGUCACUGAACGCCACCAUACGUCGCGUGCUAUUUCGACCGGUUUGAAAUAGGGCUCGACAUAAUGACGACUUUGCUGGGGAUUUUUCAACUUAGGUUGUAACCUUAACAUGCUUAGUUUAGGAUUUUUAUGCUUUAUUAUGUUAUGUGCUUUACGUAUCAUUAUAUCAUGCUUUGUGUGAAAGGACACAAGCCAAAUCCAAACUUGCAUUCCUUAUUUGUUUGUAUAACACUACUUGUUACCGUUUUAUCACUUGCAUUUUCCUAUCGAGUCUUGGUCGUACACAAUUCACACACUGAAAAUGCGAGGGGUGUACCUGCACUUCUCCGAAACCUCUUCGGAUUCCUUAGUUUCUGAGUUGGUGCAAUUAGGUUAGUGCACCUUCUCGCCGCUAUUCAGUCCCUCUCUUGAACAUUUAGGAGAAAAAGAUCUUACUCUAGUGAUAGGUCAUAUUGCAUACACCUUAGGCGGAACAGUCCAGGGUAUCAUUCCACGGUUAGGAAACCACCCUUCACUUUAACGGGUCCUCCACGAAACCAACGACAGUAUAUGUGGAAUGAUUAAUUGAUCUAAACAUUAAAAACGUAAUAAAUUUUGGACAUUGAACUUACUAUACCCUUUUCUUUGUACAGAUGGAAAUCAACCAGAAUCUCGCCAACAUCCAUAUGCUGACUGACAUUCCCCAUAUCCUAAGACACUGGUGGGGAAACAUCCGAGUGGUGCAUGGAGGAGAGGUGUUUGCGCAUUUGGGGUCUCUGACAGAUUUAAUGGAGAUAAGGGCAGAUAGGCUACUGAUUCGAUUCUUAGUCGAGUUCUGGGACCCGAUUAUGGUUACUUUCAAAUUCAGGGACUUCGAGAUCAUGCCCACCUUAGAAGAGGUCAGCCAAAUGGCUAAUUUGCCGUUGAAAAGACGGGCAUCUUUGGCCCCCUAUAUUACUACAGGUAGUCGUUUUCUUCAUGACAUAGGGUUGAAAGUUGGCCCAGGCUUGAGAAUGGUUGAGGCAGGCUGGGUAAGCCUGGUUUAUCUCUUUGAGAGGUUCGGUAGAAGAGAAAGUUAUGAUCGCUUUUGAGAGGAGUUCUACUUCACCAGGAUCAACUGGGAGAGACAUAAAGCCAUUGUGUUUAUGACAACUUUUCUCGAUAUUAUAGUGUUCCCAAUGAGAGGGAACCGAAUCAGUAUUCACAUACUCCCCAUGGUCUUAUUCAUGUGUAGGGCACUAAUCAGGACCACGAUCGUGCCAAUGAUUCUAGCAAAAGUCUUUCGGUUUUUAUCCGCAUGCUCCAGGGGACACGAUUUUUUUAGAGGCUGCAACCUAGUGCUCCAAGUCUGGGCAUUAGAGCACUUUUAUCAUAGAAAUGGUGUUGGAGAGGCUGGCCUUAACUAGAUUCGCAGCCACAAACUUAGAGUGGCCAUGUGGGAGAUGCCAGUCAAUGAGGAACAGUGGCGCGACUUCCUAAUCCAUCUCACUGGUAACCUUAUACAGUGGAGGCUACCAUGGGUUAGUGGUCGAGUAAGUUGAGAAGGCAUUACACUUACUUUCUUGAGUUGAUUGGGUUGGAGGGAAUCCAGCCAUAUGCACCUUUGAGGGUUCUAAGACAAUUCGGCCUAAUUCAGAAUGUCCCUCUAUGGUCAAACAUGUCAUUAUCAGAGAUUGAUUAUGAGGGAAGAAUCCCUGUAGAGAGGCUUGGCAACCUAAUCCACGGCUGGGGACAGAUCUUAAGUUUGGGCAUGAGAGGUAACCCAUAUUGUACUCUCGAGUGCUAUACCUGGUACAAGUUGGAAGGAAUUCUAGCUCAACUAAGUCUUAUGUCUCUCCAAGGGCUCUCCGACAUUCACAGAGCGGACCAGAUUCAAGAGCAGCUUCUUCAUCUCAGGCCUGUAACCACAACCAUGUAUAAGCAGGUGAUUCCUGGUUCGGUGGAUCACCUUAUCACCGCUGUUGAUGAUAAAACAGAGAAAGAGAUGGAGAAAGAUCUUGAAGAAGAUCCCGAGAAGAUAGAGGAAGAUCCUGAAGAGGACCCAGAGGAGGAUCUCGAGGAGGACUCGGAGGAGGAACCAAUGGAAGAGCAGGAUGGGGAGCUGACAGAGGAGAUGAAGGAAGACCCAGAGGAAGAAGAGUACAAAGACUUCCAAGGGCAGCAGUUAGACGGAUCCCCAGAGUAUCACCCUGGGCCUUAUUAUGACCUCGAUGAUGAUUAUGAUCCCCCCAGUUGGCCUUAGGAUCCAUCUUGUUGUAGAUUCUUGAGGAUCUUGUACGACCUAUUUGUACUUUUGUCUUUCAUUUGUUUUCCCUAAAAAGGGUCUUGCAUGACCUCUAUCGAUAUUGUCAUAGGUUACCAUGAUGUAGUCUUUAGUUCAAAACUUUUCUUUGUAACCCGUGACUUCACACCUUACUUUUUUCAUUAAUCAAAAUUCCUUUGUCCUGAAUUUAAUUACAAUUUAAGGAUUUGGAUCAAUUAAUUGUGUUUGCAGCGUAGGCAUACCUCUGGCGAAAAGAGGCUCUAUAUUAGGACGCGUUUGAAUAUCGCUAAAUUGGUGUAUAUAUGUGCUACUUACUUAUUAUAUUUACGUUAUUGCCCAAACUAACAUAGUUUCCCUUUUCUUUUUCUUUUAUUUAAUCCCCCAAACAACAAAAAAGUUGAUUUGCGUCAAUUGGAAAACUGGCAGAAUCUCAGUACUACCUCUGAUUUAAAAACAAAAUGACCAACAAUGACAAGGCCGCGAUGAUAGCCGUAGAUGAAGUCGAAAGCUCGCAGAAGCUAUCAAAAAUGCAAAAUAACGAGCAAAUAGCUAAUAUGGCGCAAGAGAUCGAAGUGUUAAAGGAAGAACUGCGUCAAAUGCGAAACUUGACUAAGCUUACCAUGGCUAGCUUUCCCACUCAGCUCCAGGGUCCAGAUGUUGGAUUACCCCCGAUUGCCCCAGCUAAUCCAACGAACCUGUCGCAUGCUCAAGAACCACCUGCUUUUCAACCCACUGCCGGAACAAUUCCUGGUUAUCCAUUUCCUACUCACAACUUUACUGUUUCGAUCCAUCCAGAGAUGCAGCACAUACCCGAAGCACAUGUCACUUGUGAGAUACCUGUGCCCCCUGUAUCGCUAUCGAAGCUCCUGACUUUGCAACAUCUGCGACUUUUAAGGUUCCAUAUAAGGCUGAUCAGUAUGUGGGGUUAGGAAAAAAUGUCCAAUCAAGUGAAGGAGGGUCGAUAGUAGCCCAGCUUGAGAGUCUAAAGAUAGCAUUCAGAAACAUGCAAGUCACCAGAGGGACUGAAAGUUUGGACUACGAUGAAUUAUCCAUUCAUCCAGACAUCGACAUGCCAGUGGGGUACAAACCACCAAAGUUUGAUGUGUUUGACGAAAAAGGUGACCCGCAUGCACACAUGAGGGCUUACUGCGACAAGUUGGUCGGGGUAGAAAGGAACGAGAAGUUGAGAAUGAAGCUGUUCAUUCGGAGUUUGUCGGGAGAAGCUUUAACUUGGUACACCUGACAAGACCCUCGUAAGUGGCGUAACUGGCAGGAACUGGCCGAGGAUUUCAUGAGUCGCUUCAGAUUAACACUGAGAUUGCCCCAGACAGGUUCUUAUUGGCUAACAUACAGAAGAAGCCAUCCGAAUCAUUUCAAGAAUAUGCAUAACGCUGGAGGACCGAGGCUGCAAGGAUCCAGCCUCCGCUAGAUGAAAGUAAGCUCUCCAAAUAUUUUAUCCGAGCACAAGAGGGUGUUUACUUUGACAAAAUAAUGUCGAUGAUGGGCCAAAAGUUAGCGAAAUUGGUCAGAAUAGGAGAUUUGAUAGAAGAAGGCAUUAAGUCGGGGAAGAUCCAAUCGAUGGCUGCAUUGCAAGCUGCGUACAGGGCCAUGCAAAUCGGUUCCAUUAAUGGUAACAAGAAAAAGAGGGAAGAUAUUUCAGCCGUCACACCAUACAACCAACCUGGAAAUUCUUCCCACCAUUACCCUAACAACCUCCAAAUUAUUGCACACGUCCCAAUGUAUAAUACUCAGCCGCAUUAUAAUCUACCUCGAGCUCUAGCAUACCAAAAUCCACCAAGACCAUACGCCCCUUUCCAAGCUCCAACUCACCAAAAUAGACCAGCAUAUGCACCCAGACCACGUCCAAACUUUGAAGCCAAAAAUACCCGCACUUACACACUGAUUGCAGAACCUUUAGCCCAGUUGUUUAAAAGAUUGAGGGUUGUCAGUUUAUUGCAUCCAAUUGAGGGAAAGGCACCUGACCCAACCUAUCGAAACUUUGACGGUAGCAAGCGGUGCACCUAUCACUCAGGAGUCCAAGGGAAUGACACGGAAGACUGUUACAGCUUGAAGAUCAAAUUGAGUCUCUGAUAAGAAGGGGUAUCAUCAAAUGCACCGUCGCAGCUCCCAAUGUGAACAAUAACCCCUUGCCAAAUCAUGGAAAGCGGGAAGUCAACAUGAUUACUCUAGAGGAGGAGUAUGAUUUGGAAGAAACUAUUAUGCCCACAUGGAACUCAGAAGAAAUCACCACUGCAUCCCCAUCACAGCCAUUUAUCACAGUUCAGUUGAGGGAGCCUAUAACUGUUCAAACUUACCUUCCAAGAGUCGUAGUGACCACAUCAGCCAUUGGGAGAACCGAUUAUGACACCAAGGCAGUCCCAUGGGACUAUUGAGCUGAAGCCAAGGGCAAAAUGAUAGAUGCUGCUGCGGCUCAAGGUAUGACCAGGUUGGGGAGAUGUUGUGCACCAGAAGAACCAAAUCGUGGAGUUCUUGGGAAAGAUCAAAAUCCAAGAAGAAAUAUCACAGAUGCUGAAGCUGCAGAGUUUUGGAAGAAGAUGCAGUCCAAAGACUAUUCAGUCAUGGAUCAGCUCAAGAAGACACCGGCCCACAUAUCCGUCAUGUCUUUGCUUAUGAGUUCUGAAGACCAUAAAAGUGCUAUGAUGGAAGUUUUAUGUGAGAUUAGCAUACCAAAGAAGACAACUAGCAAGACUUUGGCCGCAGCAAUCGGGCGAGUGGUAGAAGAAAAUAAGGUCUCUUUUCAUGACGAUGAGUUACCAUCAGAAUGUGCUGCACACAACAAAGUGCUCCAUAUUACGGUAAGAUAUUAUGACAAGAUUGUGAACAGGGUUUUGAUCGAUGGCGGUUCGGGUUGCAAUAUCUGUCCAUUCUCCACGCUGAGGGAUUUGGGUGUGAAUAUAGAAGAUAUAAGGGAGAGUCGGGUGAAGGUUAGAGCCUUUGAUGGGUCGUAAAGGAGUGUCAUCAGAGAAAUUUACUUAACAUUGCAGAUAGGACCAGCAGAGUUUCCUAUCCUAUUUCAGGUCAUGGAUGUGUCAUCUACCUACAAAUUAUUGCUGGGGAGGCUGUGGGUCCACAUGGCAAUAGCCGUUCCUUCCACUCUCCAUCAGUACGUGAAGUUUGAAUGGGGUAUGGGGUCACACAGAAGUUACCGUUCAUGGAGAAUUCAAUCAUCCCAUUUAUUCUGUCAAUUCAGUCCCAAUUACCGAGGAGUUAGAUGGAGCCACUUUUCAUACUCUGGAGAUCAUACAAGCAGCAAAGAUCAAUGAGGAAGUAAUGCCAGCUGAAGCAAAAAUGUCGAAUGCUGAAAAGAUGGUUGCGUCGGAGUUAUUGAAAUAUGGGUAUCAACCCAAGAUAGGACUAGGACCCAGAGCCGAUGGUAUAGUCGAUCCAAUCCAGUUAAAGCAACAGAAGGGUACUACAGGGCUUGGAUAUGAGCCUAUUUCUGGAGUAGCCUGCAGGGAAGAAUUUAAAAUGACAGUGUUCGUGCCAGCCCAAGCCCCAGUUUCAGAUCAAGCAGUCGAUGAAGAUAUCAUUGAAGGAAUAGGGAAUUUAUUUAUGGCUGUGAUCGAAGAUGGAUCAGAGAUAGAUUUCAAGAAGCUUACCAUCCGUAAUGUUGAACCAGGAGAAGUCCUGCAGAAUUGGACCAUUGUCCCAUCCCUAUUCCGUCAGGAGUCUUGGUAGUGCGGGACUGUUGUUUCUUUUAAAAAUUAUUUUGUUUGCAUGAUCAAUUGAGGCUUGAAUCAUGCCGAAGCUAUUUUUGCUACUUGCCUCUUUGCCAAAGCCCAGUGCUUUAUUCAAUAAAGUUCUUAUUUUCCAAACUUAUUUAAUAUUUUCAAAUAUCUAAUUAUUUUCCAACAUCUAUUUACGUUACUCACUUUUAUACCUUUUCAGCGCAAAUAUUAAUAAAAAUCCUCAUUCCACGAUUAUGACAUGUAACGAAUCCGUUAAGCAAAAUAGAAGCGAUGCGCAAGAUUACGAAGAGUACGAUGAGAGCAUGAUGCCUGAAAACUUUCCUCAAGAGAUUGAACAACUCGAAACUCAGAAGAAGCCUAAUAUGGACGAAAAUCAAGUCGUCAAGUUGGGUGAUGAAGAGACAACAAAGAAAACACGAGUCAGCAUACACUUGGAGGAUAAAAGAAAGCAGGAAUUGAUAAGUCUGCUUAAGAAAUACAUCGAUGUAUUUGCUUGGUCGUACGAUGACAUGCCUGUUUUAAGCACUGAUAUCGUCUCGCAUCGACUACCGACUAACCCUACGUGUCCACCAGUAAAGCAAAAGAUGAGGAAAUUUAAGCCCGAUUUGAGUUUGAGAAUCAAGGAGGAGGUCACCAAGCAGAUAGAAGUCAACUUUGGGAGGGUCACGACUUAUCCCACCUGGCUAGCCAACAUCGUGCCCGUAACAAAGAAGGACGGAAAGAUAAGAAUAUAUGUAGAUUAUCGGGAUCUCAACAAGGCUAGUCCAAAAGAUGAUUUCCCUCUCCCAAAUAUUCACAUUCUCAUUGAUAAUUGCGCAAAACAUGAGUUGUAGUCGUUUGUUGAUUGUUUUAAGGGAUAUCAUCAAAUUUUGAUGGAUAAGAAUGAUGCAGAAAAAAUAACCUUCAUUACACCGUGGGGAGUAUACUGCUACAGGUAAUGCCAUUUGGACUCAAGAAUGCCAGUACAACUUAUAUAAGGGCCAUGACCACUCUUUUCCACGAUAUGAUUCACAAAGUAAUCGAAGUAUACGUGGAUGAUGUCGUCAUUAAAUCUAAAAGGAGUUCGAACCAUUUGGAUGAUUUACGAAAGUUCUUUGAAAGGCUGCAAAGGUACGACCUAAAGUUGAAUCCAGCUAAAUGGGCCUUCGAAGUCCCCGUAGGAAAGUUAUUGGGAUUCAUCGUUAGUAGGAGGGGUAUAGAGUUUUAUCCGUCCAAGAUAAAGGCAAUCCAUGAUUUACCACCUCCCAAGACCAAGAAGGAUGUAAUGAGUUUCUUAGGAAGACUCAAUUACAUCAGUCGGUUCAUAUCCCAAUCCACGAUCAUUUGUGAACCAAUAUUCAAGUUAUUAAAGAAGUAUGCCACCACCGGAUGGACUGAAGAAUGUUAGAAGGCUUUUGACAAAAUUAAGGAGUAUUUGUGUAACCCACCAGUAUUGGUUCCACCAGAACCAGGAAAGCCGUUACUGCUAUAUUUUUCUGCUAUGGAUAAUGCAUUUGGAUGUGUGUUAGGGCAGCACGAUGAUACAGAGAGGAAAGAGCAAGCCAUUUACUACCUUAGGAAGAAGUUCACACCGUACGAAGCUAGGUAUACAUUGUUGGAACAGACUUGUUGUGCAUUGACUUGGGUUGUGCAAAAGUUAAGGCACUACCUGUCCACGUAUACCACGUACUUAAUUUCGAGAAUGAAUCCACUCAAGUACAUAUUUCAGAAGCCAAUGCCUACUGGAAAGUUGGCGAAAUGACAGAUUUUAUUGAGUGAGUUUGACAUUGUGAAUGUGACACAAAAGGCUGUUAAAGGAUAAGCUUUAGCUGAUCACCUCGCAGAAAAUCCAGUAGAUCAAGAUUACAGGCCACUCAAGACCUACUUUUCUGAUGAAGAGGUGUUAUUUGCAGGAGAAGACAUCUCAGAGUCAUACGAUAGAUGGAGGAUGUUUUACAAUGGGGCAGCGAACUUCAAAGGAGUCGGAAUUGGAGCAGUCCUAGUUUUAAAAAUAGGUCAACACUACCCAAUCUCAGCGAAGAUUAGGUUUCCUUCCACGAAUAACAUGGCAGAAUAUGAGGCUUGCAUUCUCGGGCUUAGGAUGGCAGUAGACAUGGACAUUAAAGAGCUAUUGGUGAUUGGAGAUUCAGAUUUAUUGAUCCAUCAGGUGCAAGGAGAAUGGAUCACCAAAAAUGUCAAAAUCCUUCCUUAUGUCCAAUGUGUUAAGGAAUUGAGCAAAAGGUUUACGAAGAUUGAAUUCAAGCAUGUCCCUCGAAUUCAAAAUGAGUUCGCCGAUGCCUUGGGGGCACUAUCUUCAAUGAUUCAGUAUCCAGAUAAGAAUUACAUCGAUCCCAUCAAAGUAGAGAUACACGACCAACAAGCCUACUAUUUGUAUAUAGAUGAAAAACCAGAUGGAAAAUCGUGGUAUUACGAUAUUAAGAGGUUACUAAGAGCGGGAGAAUAUCCAGAAGGCGCAACUACCAAACAGAAGAGGACUUUAAGAAGGAUGGCUAAUCAUUUCUUCCUCAACGGGGAAAUCCUAUAUAGGCGGACUCCAGACCUAGGAUUGCUACGAUGCGUCGAUGCCAUGGAGGCCACAAGAUUGUUAGAGGAGAUACAUGUAGGAACUUGUGGACCCCACAUGAACGGUUUUAUGCUUGCGAAGAAGAUUUUAAGAGCCAGAUACUUUUGGAUGACUAUGGAGAGGGAUAGCAUUCGAUUCGUACAGAAGUGUCACCAAUGUCAAGUUCAUGGAGACUUUAUAUGAGUUCCGCCAAAAUGGGUUCUCCUUGGACGUUUGCUGUUUGGGGAAUGGAUGUUAUUGGGCCCAUAGAGCCUCCUGCGUCCAAUGGAUAUCAUUUUAUGUUGGUCGCUAUAGAUUACUUCACAAAGUGGGUUUAGGCCUCAACAUAUAAGGCCGUAACAAAGAAGGUGGUAGCAGAUUUUUUUCGCAACAACUUAGUCUGUCGGUUUGGAAUUCCAGAGUCAAUCAUAACAGAUAAUGGGACCAAUCUCAACAGCGACCUGAUGAGAGAGAUUUGUGAAAGGUUUAAGAUCUCUCACCAAAAUUCCACGGCAUAUCGACCACAAAUGAAUGGAGCAGUUGAAGCUGCAAACAAGAAUAUCAAGAAGAUUUUGAGAAAAAUAGUGGAUGGUAAUAGGGAAUGGCAUGAGAAAUUAUCAUAUGCUUUACUUGGAUAUCGCACCACAAUCAGAACUUCUACUGGGGCAACUCCUUACAUGUUGGUCUAUGGGUCGGAAGCUGUGAUACCUGCCGAAGUUGAGAUACCUUCAUUAAGAAUCAUCCAGAAGGUGGGUCUAGACGACGCUGAAUGGGUUCGUAGCAGGAUCGAACAGUUGAUGCUUAUUGACGAAAAGAGAUUGGAUGCAGUCUGUCAUGGUCAACUCUAUCAAAAUAGAAUGAUCAAGGCGUUUAACAAGAAAGUCAAGCCUCGUCGAUUCACACCUGGACAGUUGGUAUUGAAGAAGAUAUUCCCUCACCAAGGUGAAGCCAAAGGGAAAUUUGCGCCAAAUUGGCAAGGUCCUUACAUAAUUCAUCGAGUGCUCUCAGGAGGAGCAGUGAUACUUGCAAAAAUGGACGGCACAGUAAGCACAAAGCCGAUCAACUCAGACGCCAUCAAGAAGUACUACAUUUGAAGACAUUAGGACUAGCCGUUUCUUUGUAGUUUUUGCAUUUUCUCUAAUGUAACAGAACUACGUAUUAGCUUGAUUUCCCACGGCGGGAUACGUAGGCAGCCGACAUAGGGUUCGGUUUCCCUUAGAAAACCCUAAAAAAAUCAUCCUUUCAUGUAACAGAACUAUGUAUUAGCCUGAUUUCCCACGGCGGGAUACGUAGGCAAUCCACAUCGGAUUCGGUCCCUUCAUAUUUUUACCUUUUCAUUGUAAUGAACUACAGCCUGACCUGAUUCCACUUGGAUACGUAAGUAGCCUGAGUCAAGCCCGGUCAUUGCAUUAUUUCACUUUUGUAUCGAACUACGUUAUGACCUGAUUCCUAUUCUUAGGAUACGUAGGCAGCCUGAGUCAAGCUCAGUCACUGCAUUGCAUAUUUUCACUUAUCCCAUUGUAAUCGAACUACAUGUGAACCUGAUUCCUGUUAUAAAGAUACGUAGGCAACCUGAAAGGUUCGGUCUUACCUUUAGAAAAAUCCCCUAUUUCCCAUAGUAUAGCCUCAGAAUAUAAGGAAUCUCUCCGCCAGAACCAUCAUAGUAUCGAAAGUCAGAGAAGCUCCACCCGAAGGAUAAAGCUACAUGGGUCACGAUCAAUAAAUUGAGGCUUAACGGAUUUCCGAACAUGUCAUAAUCUAAAAAUGACAAAGGAUUACUAUAUAUACUUAAUAUAUACAUAAUAUAUUUGUGAAACAUAUAUACAUAUAUAUAUUUUUCACCAUACUUUCAACUUUCCCACCUACUGAGACUCCAGAUUUGGGAGUGAUUGAGCAACCGAGGGAGUGUUGGAGAAUUUCAUAAACAAAACCAGAAUCCCCAAGUCGACACAAAUCAACACCCCCUCCCAACUAAGAAUUUUUCUUUGAGCGCAGGAAAACAGGAAUUGGAAGGCUACGCCAAGUCAAGCUUUGGGAAAGGAUUAGGGGCAUCAUGCGGCUUACCACCACAACAAGAGCCAAAUAUUCUUCCCUUCCUUUAUUCUCUUUACAUACCUUGAUACUAAUCUUCAGAAGCUCUAACAAUUUUAGUCAAAUUCUUUCGUAGGUACAUUUUGAAGACCCGGGUUGAAAACUAAGAAAAGAGGAUCCUCAUAGGAAGAUUAAGUUAUUUACUUGUCCCAACAAAACUCCGCCAAUCGGAUCCAACCACCUGACUGCGUUGAAUAACUUAACUAAUCGAAGAAUUAUCAUCUAAACUACCCCGAAUAACUCCACAAAUCAGAGAGUGUCGUCUGACUUCAAUAAAGUCAAGCUCUCGCAUUCCAAAGGACUGUAUAUAAGCAAAUAAAGUCAAGCUUCCACAUUCCAAGGACUGUAUAUAAGCAAACAAAGUUGAGUUCCACAUUCCAAGGACUGUAUAUAAGCAAACAAAGUCGAGUUCCACAUUUCGAAGACUGUACAUAAGCAAGCAAAAUGAUCCUCUGCCAUAUCGGAGGAUGAAAAUGGGCAAUACGACUCUUCGUCAUAUCGGGAGUCAUGCACCAGCAAUGGGGAUGCCCCGACACAAAUUCAAGAAUUUAUAUAAGCAAAGAAACAAUCCGCCAUACUGGAGAAUUGCAUUUCAGCAAACAAAGCACAGCCUGUCAAUCAGAGGCCCCCAUACCAUAGCAAGCGCGCAAGAAAGUCACUAUCACAAUAGCAUCAAGUUCCAGCAGCAAUACCGUUAUCUCAUUUCAGACCAAGGGCCGCCUUGACAAAUACGAGGCCAUUUACCUUUGGGCAAAUGUCCUGCCGUCAGAGGCUAUUUACAUUCCAGCCGUUAGAGGCUAUUUACAUUCCAACCGACGGAGGCUAUUUUCAGUUUAGCCGAUAGAGGCUAUUUAUAUUUCAGCCGACGGAGGCUCUUUACAUUCAAGCAGCUGCUCAGCCGACGGAGGGUAUUUAUAGUUCAGCCGGCGGAGGCUAUUUAUAUUUCAGCCGACGGAGGCUAUGUACAUUUCAGUUAUUGCCCCGCCAGUCGGAGGCCUCAACUAACGGAGACAAUACUAGUUUGAAUAUCUAAACUCUACUCUUUACAUUACGAUUCCAAUCUAUAAAUUUUCGAACAACAGGUACUUUUUGCCCUGUUAUCUGUUUUGCAGGACUAUGCAGUAGAACGUGGAAAUACCCUCUUAGCAGCAAACUGGGGCAAGCUAGCGGAAUGUCAAGCAUCCCUAGCUACGUCAAGGAUGCCGGCAAAGAAACUCAACUCGACUCGACUCAAGUUUUCAUAUUUUUUCAUCACUCAGUACCGUCUUAGUCCGACACUGGGGUAGUUUUUAAAAAAUCGUUAUCUUCUUUUCUCUCAAGAUCCUCAGCAGAUAUCACUAUCCAACAUCUCCUCAUCCCCAACUACUCCUAACAGCCUGUUUUGGACCUGCACCCAUAUCUAUUUCAUUCGUUUUGAAAGUUUGAACCCAAUGUUUUCGAAUGGGAAUUUUCUUCAUAGGGAGUUUCGCCCGUUGAAACUCUUUUCUUACGUUUAAAUACGGUCUUUCAUGUCCGGAUUUAGGGUAUAAAUACCGAUGCAAAUAUGGUUCAAAAGCAGGGGUUGAAGUUGAAGAUCAGUAAAAAAAAAAGUGAGUCGAAAGUAAGAGAAGGGAAAUAGAUCAAAAAACAGAUAAGAAAAAAAGAGAAAAACAGAGUUCGGAGUGGUGCUUCUGGUAAAGAAAAAUUGGAAAAUUACAGAUUCUAUUUCUUCUUUUUCAUCCUAAAGUCGAGUUCCCGGAGUUGGUUUCGUCGUGAGAAAAUCCUAGACAUCAAAGCCCCAGUUUUGUUGCACCACACAAGGUGCGAAAUUCCUCUUUUCAUUUCACUUUUUUUUAUAUCAUUUUGUUUUACUGUUUGAGUUCGGUAGGUUGUUGUUGUGUGUGUUCAUUUUGGUUUGUUGUGUUGGAUGAUUGGAGUUGAUUGUUGUGGUAAAAUUGAUUGUUGAUGUUAAAAGGAGUGUCUUGGUGCAAAUUCGGAUUAGUGAGAUGCACAUUUUUUGAAUUUUUCACUUCACGUUUAUUCGUUAAUAGCUAGAUAAGUUGUUAAUAAGGUGAUUGAUGUUUUGUUGACUGCUUAGUAAUUUGUUGAUGUACGGCGCGGUUUGCUCAAGGGAUCGUAUUAGCGAUGUGUAAAGAAUUUUGAGUAGAAAGAAGUGAUCCCGGUCAAAAUCUAGAGUUUGUUAAUUAAUAAAAUGGGUUCUUGCAGGUAAGCUUUUCAAAUUGAGUUGCCUUUUGAAUUUUUUGAAGGUAGAACAUGAAAAGAUUCUACAACCUUACCUGCUUAAAUGUUUGACUAGUCGUGCUUUAUACACAAUAAUAUAACUUGUGAAUAUCCAUAAUAACUCAUGCUAAUUUGUGAACGUGGGUCUGGUAUAUUGCUAUCAUGGUUGACUUCGCAGAUGCACUUUGUCUUAUUGUGGUCCUCAUGAUACUUGCCUUACUGCUUCUAUAACAGUAAUGUAUAUGGCACUAUUAGCAUUGAUGUUUCAUGAUAUACUUAAGUAGGUAAUUAGGGAGGGGACAUAAUAUAUCAUUGCCAUGAUAUAACAAUAAUGUUUAUUGCAUUAGAUAAUGAAAUAUGUUUUAAUUUGGCUGAGAAUCUGUGUGCCUAAUCUCUUUUACACCAAAGACAUCGAUGGAAAAGCUCUCGAAGCUUUAUUAGAAUAGGUUUAUGUGGAUUAUACCCCUGUUUGACGUAGAGUAGUUGUUCUCAACAGGUUAUUGUCUCUUUUAUUUUUUUUAAUCCUCACCCCUUGUUAUUGUUUCUCUGCAUUCAUCUUGUUACUGAGAACAAGUUAGUAUGCAUAUGUCUGUGCCUAUUCAACUAGUGUAUGUCCAACAUAUGUAUGCUCCAUUGAAGUUAAUAUGGUAAAGUUUCUUGUCGUUGUAUUAAUGACCAAUGACGCUAAAUUCGAACUUCUGAAUCCCAUUGGAGAAUCUGCAAUCAAUAACUAGAGUUCAAUGGAUUACUGGAUCUAAUCGCAAGCUGUUCGUAUUAGAGAGUAAUAAGUAGUUAUGUUUUUAUUUCGGAGUCAUAAAUAAAUAUAUAUAUGAUAAACGCUGAUGUUUAGAUAUAUUAAUUCACUUUAAAUUUGAUUGCUAAUUCUUAUAUUUCCUUCGAUGCAUGAGACAUGAAUUCUUACUCCAUUUAUCCUCGCAUUCAAACUUCGUCGUGUCCGAGCCUCAACAAAGUCCCCAAAACGGAUACAAAAAUGCUAAGUUGUAUAUGCGUGUAUACAGAGGAUAUACAUCAGAUAUACAAAACGCUGGGAAAGUAUAUUCAUUAUACCUUAAUCAUUUUUUACCGUGGUGUCCGGGAUAGCUUGUGCGCAUCUCAAAUAAUUCCACGGGACAUCUACCCCCCUAACACAAACAUUAUUCAUGACUUUAUUGGCUAUUUUACAGGUACUUUUUCCUUUGAAUGUCUUUGGGUCAGUUUUACUGUAAAUAAAGAAUGGCUAGCAACAUUUUCUGUAGAAUGGAGAUGCCUUUCUUUGCUUAAAACUUUUUAUAAAUUUGUACUUUUUUUUCAUUUUUUGACUUUUUGAAAUAACUUGAUUGAUUUAGAUUAUUGAUACUUUCGAUUCAUAAAGUGAACUAGGUUAAAUUUUAGAAUUGUUUCGGUCCAUUGAAACUUUGGUCUAAGAAAAGGAAUGAUAGUUGCAAUUUACGUAUAUCUAUGUCAUGUAUAGUGUCGUUAAUUUAGGGGCUGUUCUUCUCCUAAUCUUCGUCGUCUUUGCGGGAAAGUAAAGAAAAGGAGAUAGAAUUCUAACUUUCAAAAUCGUUUCAUAGCAAUAUACAUAGCCUUAAAAAAAUGUUUUUCUUUUAGCUUUUGAUGUAACCUGGCUACCAUAUGAAUGUUGCAUGUUGAUGUAUUUUUAGAUGGUAAAUAGGACGCUAGGAAGUAAAUAUGUAGAAUUAAUUAAAACCAUAUUGUUUUUACAUAUAGCAUCUCUCGACCAACUCUUUAUAGUGAGAAGAGUCCGAUUUGUGUCCAUAUUUGAUCCAAUAUAUGUUUAUUUUGGUCCACCUUGUCAAUGUGUUCAAGAUUUUCAUCAAGUGUUUAUUAGUCUGUACUAAAUCUAAUGGCUAGUCUCCAUAUUUAUUUAAGUUUGCUUUGUAUUUGACUAAGCUAAUUUGGUACUUAAUUCUCCUAUUCGAAUGAUAGAUUUGUUUAAAACUGAAAUUUGCUUUUGAAAUUUGUAUUUGACUUUCCCAUUUGGAAUUGUAAAAGGACAUUGUCGAGAUUCUUCAAGGUUAUUUUUCAGCUCCCUCUUUUGAGAAAAUUAGCUCCCAAUAGCAUUUUAUACCUCUUAACAUUAGAUUGUGUAUUAAUAUAAUGAUAAGUCAUUCACUACCAUGCAUAUUGCGGAUAAGAUUCCAAUUAAAAAUAAAUAGAUAGGCUUUGUGUCCGAGAUUUGAAACUCUAUAGGUUAAAUUUCCGUCACUUUUUUAAGAAGAUGUUGAAGUUUAAAGGGGUUUGAUCGACUUGGGUUAAGGUUAUCUUGCUUGUCGUUUCUGCUUUGGCUAAAGUUUCAUUCAAACAUUCACUCCCCACUUUGAUGCCUAAAGUCAUUAUUUUGAAGACAAGAUCGAUCAAUUUCUAGUUUGUCAAAAAAAAAAAAUUCAAUUCUUCGAAUAGUAUAAAAAAUGUUAGAAUCGUGUUCAAGUAACAGAUCCUCGCUAUCCAGAUUUUGAAGUCAAUCUCAUGCAUUUUAAAUUUAUAGUCAUCCUUGGUGAUGUCCUUGAACUAUAUGGCGUUAUUUCAUUUCGUUAAUUUCAGCUAGUAUUACUUAAUUUUCCUAAUGUGUUGCUCGACUCAUUUGGUUAUAAGUUAUAUUUCGUUGUUCAUUUAUUUUACCCAAAUUUAAUUACUAAUCCUUUUUCUUUUUUAUGUACACUCGGGAGUUGGGGUUCCGCAACGGAACUUUUUUUUUUUUGACCCAAGCAUCGGGUCAAACGCAACUAGGAUCGCAGAGCCUCGGAGUCGCGAGAAUUAAGAGAUUAAGCCUCUAAAUAGAGUCUAGUAUUUCUUACCUAUGGUUAAUUUGUGUUGAUUUUUUUAUAUAACUAACUCUUAUUGUUGAAGUUGUUGGAUUAUUGAGCCUAUGAUUGCUUUAUUAUUCAUAUUUCCUUCACAGGAGUGACUUUAAUUUUCGCAAAUAACGCAUGGUUAUUACUGGAUAAAGUACAUUUUCAGAACUUACCAUCAAUACUCUUAAAUGAGAUUAGCAUAGCAACCUUCACGUUUUUCUUAAAAAUAUAACAAAAAUAAAAAAUAAAAUUUUAGUGUCAACUUAGCCGACAAAUAAGUUAGUAAAAUUCAGCUUUUUGAAAAGGAGUCACCCGCUAAUUUUAACUUAUUUGUUACACUAUUUUAUCUUUUCAAAGCUUAAAUUUUCAUUUUCAGGUUUAAGAAAAUAAGGUAUAUAUAUAUUCAUCCCCUACCUCGUACAAGGUAUAUCAUUUCAUACAAUAAUUAUUUUGUUACUAUUUUUGACAAUUAUUAUUAUUAAUAUUAUUAUUAUUAUUAUUAUUAUUAUUAUUAUUAUUAUCAAAAUCAUUUCCAUAAGAGAAAUAUUCUUUUUUAGGCCUUUUACUCCUUCUCAAUUCUUCAAUAUUAGAGGAAGACUCAUUUUCUCUUUCAACAGGUGCAUGAGAGAUUUUAUCACAUAGUGAAAAAAUAUGUUCAAAGAAUUCAGCAUUCUUUGUCUCGAUUAUAGUAUUACUAUCAAGUACAUCACAUUUCAAGACAAGAAAUCUGUAUGCAGCACUAUGUUCAACAUAUCCAAUAAGCAUGCAAUCAGCAGUUUUAGAACCUAUUUUCCUCUUUUUAGGUUCAGGAAGAAGAACUUUUUCAAGGCAACCCCACACUUUUAAAUAUUUCAAAUUAGGUUUAUAACCUUUCAACAAUUCAUAAGGGGUUUUGCCAGUUCUUUUAUGAGGAAUUCUAUUCUGUAAAUGACAUACAGAUAAAAUAGCUUCACCUCAUAAAUUAUCAGGUGCGCAAGAGCUAAUUAGCAUAGAGUUCAUCAUUUCUUUCAAUGUCCUAUUUUUCUCUCAACUACACCAUUAGAUUCAGGAAAAUAAGGCGGAGUUACUUCAUGAAUAAUACCUUCUUUUUCACAAAAAGCAUUCAAAGAUACGUAUUCUCCACCUCUAUCAGAUCUAAUUCUCUUGAUUUUUCUACUAAGUUGAUUUUCAACUUUAGAUUUAUAAGACACAAAAGCAUUAAAUGAAUCAUCUUUGUUUCUAAGCAAAUAAAACUUAGUAAAUUUAGAAAAAUCAUCAAUAAAAGUCACAUAAUAUCUUUUACCACCUCUUGUCAUAGUUUGUUUUAAAUCACCCAAAUCAGUGUGAAUCAAAGACAACGGUUCAGUUUCACUAUAAACUGAAAAACAUAACUUUUAGUAAUUUUAGCUUCAGCACAUAUUUCACAUUUAUCAAAAUUACUUGAAUCUAAACCAGAUAUUAGACCAAGUGAUUGCAUAUUCUUUAUUUAUUUAAUAUUAACAUGUCCUAAUCUAGCAUGCCAUAAAGAAAUAGAUUCAAUCAUCUAAGCAGAAGCUGAUGCAUUAUCAUUGAUAAUAUUAAGAGCAUAAAGUCCAUGAUUACAACAUCCAUUUCCAAUAAGAAUAUCAUAUUUUGUUAAUAUGACCUCAUUAUUUUCAAAUAUAACCUUUAUUCCAGCUUUUUCUAAUAAUGUCACAGAAAUCAAAUUAAUUCUGAUAUUAGGAACAUGCAGCACAUUACUCAAUGCCAAGAUUUUAUCAGAUGUGAGUUUGAGAAGAACUUUGCCUUUUCCAAGAACUUGAAUAGUUCUCGAGGUCCUAAGAUAAAUAAUUUCUUCUUUCUCAACUUGGAUGUAUGAUAUAAAAUCACUUUUAUUUAUACAAAUGUGCCUAGUAGCACCAGAGUCCACCACCCAAUUUCUCACAUUGGUCUUAAUAUUCAUUUUUGAAAUGACCGCAAUAAUUAUAUCAUCCGUUUCAAUCAAAUUUAUUUUUGACUUAGUGGGAUUGUCAUUUCUUUCACAUCUUUUCUUGCAUUGAGAUGCAUUUUUUAUAACUAUUUUAUUAUUAGGCAUGUGACCAAGUUCAUUUUCAUACAUGUGUUCUGCAGGCUGCAGUACCAUAACCUUCUGACAAACUGACUGGAAUGGAAGCAACCAGAGCAACACCAACAUCAGUAUUAUUAACGGUCUUAGGAUUAAAAUUUUAUGCCAUAAUUUCUUAGAUUGUUGGGGAACAACGAUAAAAUAAUAAUAACCACAAUAAAAAAAUAAUAAUAAUGACAACAAUAUUAUUUAACUGUUGAUAAAAUAUUAUAUUAAUAAUAUUAACAAUACAAUAAAAUAACAAUGUAUAAUAUUAUUGUUGCCUUAGUGAUAAUACUGUAAUCAAUAUGACAAUUAUAACAGUAAUCUAAUUGCUUCUUAACCAGUUAAUAUAUUAAUUAUGCUUGAGUCGUAUUAGGCACUGUCCUAAGAAAUUAUUUCAGCAGUGUGAAAUGUUUUCCCAGAAUUAAACAAGUACUUCUCUGAUUAAUUAAAAAAUAUUGAGAGUUAAUUAAAUUUUUCUUAGUUAAUCAGAGGGUACAAGAAUCAAUAAAAUUAUUAAUACAAAUACCAACAUAUUAAAUUAAAUUAUAAAACUCUUUAAUAAAUAAUGAUAUAAUACGAAUGAAAGAAGAAAAUUGAGGGAGUUAAAACUAAAGCAGAAGGAAAAAAUAUGUAUUAGUUACUGUUGGAAGUAUAUACUAUAUAUAUAAUUUUGCAAAAGAAGGAAUGCCAAUAUAGCAUAGUUGAGGCGGCAAAGAUGAGGCGGUGGACAACAUUUUUCCUUUUCUUUUUUUUUCUUUCUCCGCAAGUAAUGAAAUAGCUGUUAAAACAUACUUUUUGAUUGUGAUUCAAAGUAAGCCUUCUCAAGUAUAUUUUUAAGACAUUUAAAGAUAUGAUUUUUUUUUAAUAUACUUCAAAUAUAAAUUAUUUUAAAAUAACUAAACAAUUUUUCAAUAGGUAUAGCCACCGAUGGCUCCUUUACUGCACUAACAUUUUUUUAUGUCUAGUUAGAACCAUGGAAUGGAUGCUAAUAACAAACACACAAAAAUGAGCAACGUCGAUUCUAAGAAUAGUGAGUUCAACAUCACGACUCCAGGAGGCUUUUAAGUUGUUAGAAUAUGACUAGGAAUAAGAAUAACAUAUACAAUUCUACUUGAAAAUGAUUGUAAUAUAGUGUAUUAUUUGAAAAAGAAUUAAAAUAUAGUGCCUAUAAGUACGGUCUCGGUAUAAUAAUGUAAUUACAAUAAUUUAAUAAUAUUUUUCUCCUAUAUUUCUCACAUGGUAUCAGAACCUCUACAAUCUUGGUAAAAAAUCAAAGAGUUUUCGUUGCAGACGCAUUGAUAUAACCAGUAUAUGUCACCCGUCUGGUCAAUGAUUAUGUUACCAAAAGAUUAAGCCACAGUGCUUCUUUUCGAUGACUACUUUCUCAUGUCUUUGCGUAGCACUGUGCAUCUUUCCGAUGACUAUAUUUUAAUAUCUAUUUUUCAUAGCACUGUGCAUGUUUCAAGUGACUACUUUCUCAUAUUUGAUUUUCAUAGCAUCGUGCAUCUUUUCAAAUUACUUUCUCAUAUCUGAGCUGUAUAGCACCGUGGUUCUUUUCGGUGAAUCCUCCAAUCUAAUUUGCAUAGUUCCAUGCAUCUUUUUGAUGGCUCCUCAGAUCUAAUUUAUGUAGGAUCGUAUCAUUAUUCCGACCCUAUUCAUAUAGUUUCUCUUUUUUAGUAGGGUCUUGCCAUUAUUUCGACCCUACCCAUAUAAUUUCUAUUUUUCAGUAGGGUCGUGUCAUCAUCACGAUCCUACCCACAUAAUUUCUCUUUUUUAGUAGGGUCGUGCUGUCAUUCUGACCCUACCCAUAUAAUUUCUAUUUUUCAGUAGGUCAUGCCAUCAUUCCGAACCUGCCCAUAUAAUUUCUCUUUUUUGGUAGAAUCGUUCUAUCAUUUCGAUCCUACUCAUAUAAUUUUUUUUAAGAUUGUGACCAUUUUUCAGUCAUCAAAUCUAAUAAUCUAGCAUGUGAGCAUGUUUCAAUCAGUUUUUCGAUGACUUUUAUGUUCAAGAUUAGAAUAUAAUGUCUAUACAUAAAGUCUUAGUGAAAUAAUAUAGUAAAAACAAUUCAAUAAUAUUUUUCUCCCAUAUUUCUCACACGAGUGAGUGAAGCAUUAUGUAUUAAAAAUGACACAAAUUUACCUUUACCUCAUGGCUAUAGCAAUAGCAGCUUGUAAAAUGGGCUAUAGCAAUAGCCCCACGACUCCAGCAGGUUUCUUUUAAGUGACAGGAAUCUUUUAUUCAAUUCUAGUUUUUAAGUUUGUUUCACUCAGAUGAACUGUUAUUUAUUAGACACUUAUCUAAUAUGAAAUCAAAAUUCUUCUAUCCACGUCCUGACAUCUUCUAUUCCCUGCAAAUUUAAAAAAACAAAAUUAACAAAAAUCAACAAACAGUUGCUAAUAAUUCUACAUUUCUACUUGAAAAAAAAAAACAUAUCAGAAAAUUCAUUAACAGAAAAAUGAUUUGAAAAAACCAUAAACUUAUCAUAAAUCAAAAAGUUGUAGCUAAAAUUAAUUAUAUUUUUACAUGAUUUAGUUAAAACCCAUCUCAAAAAAGUCAUCGUUUUUAACUAGAAAUUAACAGAAACCAUAGAGAAUCAGAUUAAUUAAUUUAGAAAACUAAUGUUAGCAAGUGAACUUAAUGAAUAAUUGGAAGCUAAAAGAGUAAAAAUUAUCAGGUCUUAGGCAGGCAUAUAACAUGGAAGACAAAAGUUAUAUGAGUUAUAAGAAGAAGGAAGGAAAACAAAGGGAGAAAAGAAGCUACUAUUUCACUUAAUCACAACUCCAGAGACCAAAUUAGUAUAAAAUGAAUUCCAGAAAAUAUCUGGCUACUGCUAUAUAUAUAUAUAUAUAUAUAUAUAUAUAUACCAACUAACUGAUCUUAUUAUGCCUAGUUAGCAUAAGUAGCCAGCUGGCUAGCUAUCUAACAACCUUAUGAUUAGCUCACUAACUAACUAACUACUACAUUAUUUAAAUUACUUAAUGCUUGUAGUAUUCUCAGCUCAAUACUCUUCCUUAAGCUGAGGACUGAAAACAUUUUCAUUCCCAACUUGCUAAGUAAGAUAUCAUGAUGCAGUUUGUGUAGGCCUUUAGUUAUGAAAUCUACUUGUUGGUCCUUUGUACCUAUGUGUUGUGUCUGAAUCAAACCAUCAGUAAUUUUCUCCUUACAAAGUGACAAUCUAUAUCAAAAGGCUCAGUUCUCUCAUGGAAGAUUAAAUGUGCUGCAAUCUGAAUAGCAAUUUUGCUAUCACAGAACAAUUAAACUAGUAGAUGUUGUUCAAUUCCUAUUUCCUUAAAUAGCCCCUUUAGCUAUACUAUCUCAGCUACUGUUGUAGCUAUGCUUCUAAACUUAGUUUCUACAGAACUUCUUGAUAUUGUCCCUUGUUUCUUUGAUUUUCAGGAAAUCACAGACUCUCUAAACUUGAUUAUGUACUCUGUUACAGGUCUUCUAAUUUCUACACAUGCACCCCUAUUAGAGCCACAAUAAGCUAUACAUUUUGAGCAUCUUCUACUGGGCAUGAAUAGAUCAAGAAUAGCAGUUCCUUUUGCAUACUUAACUACUCUUAGUGCUGCUUUCAUAUGCGAUCUCUUGGGUGAAUGUAUAAAUUGAUUAAGUUCUUGAACUACAAAGACAAUAUUAGGUCUUGUCAUAAUUAAGUACAACAGCCUACAAAUUAGUCUUUGGUACUUUUCAUAAUCAUCAAGAGAUAUGUCUUCAUCAAUGUCAUUAAUGCCUAUAUGGUUGUCAUAGUUUAUGGGUGUCAAUUUGUGAUUAAACUCUAAAUGUGUAUUUGCUGCCCUAUUUUCUGCUGAUCCUAUCUCAGAAAUAAGCUCAAGUGCAUAUUUUCUUUGGCACAUGAGAAUCCCCUCGUGAGAUUUAGAAAACUUAAUGGCUAGAAAAUGCUUCAGUUCUCCCAGAUCCUUCAUUUUAAACCUAUGUUAUAAGUCCUCCCUUAUUUGUUGAAUAAGAGAUAUAUUUGAUCCUAUUAUCAGUAAGUCAUUAACAUACCAGGAUGACAACUAUAUCUUUCCCAACCUUUUGAGUAAACAAUGAGUGGUCAUAAUGAAAUUGAACAAACUACAUUUCUUGUAAGGCUUCUGUCAAUUUUAGAUUUCACUGUCUAGGAGCUUGCUUGAGGCUAUAUAGAGACUUGUGGACUUUGCAAACCAAAACAUUCUCCCCAAGGUUGCAAGACCAUUAGACAACAAUAUAUACACAUCUUCAAGGAGAUUACCUUGUAGGAAGCAUUAGAAAAAUCCAUUUGAAAUAAAAACUAGCCACAAGAAGUAGCCAAAUCCACAACUAAUUUAACAGUGACCAUUUUAGCCACAGGGAAAAAAGUUUUAGUAUAGUAUAGACCUUCUUACUGACUAUAUCCAUUGGCCAUAAGGCUAAACUUAUACCUCUCAACUUAACUAUUAGAAUGAAAUGUAACCUUGUACACGCACUGAGAACUUUGCCAGGAGGGAGAGGAACAAAUAACCAAGUCUGAUUGUCCUCAAGAGCUUUUAUUUAUUCUUGCAUAGUAGUAAUCCACUUUAGAUCAAGAAUAGCUUCCUUGUAAGAAGUAUGUUCUAAGAUAGAUGAGUAAGCAUCAAAAUAAACUCUAUACUCAGGUGAUAAAAAUUAUACUGAACAAAAUGAGAGACUGGAUAUAAGCAAGAUUUAGUAUAUUUUAAAGGUAAGAUAUAGUCAGCCAUCUACACAGGUGGUUUAGAACUUUUUGAAGAGUUUAUUGAAGGAGAUGGUAAAGCAAGAAGAGAACAAGAAGGUAUAUAAAGAGAGGGAUCAGACAUAGCAAGUAAAAUAAGAGGUGAAGAAGGGAGAGAGAAAGAUAUAGCACAUAUAGUAGGAGGUGAAUCAUCCAUAAAGUCCAGGAUUGAAAACAAAGGCUAAGGACUAUAACUUAGAUGUUUGAAAGGAAAAAUUAUUUCCUGAAAGAAACAUCUCUACUGAUGAAAAAAGAUUUGGAUAUAAAGUCAUAUAUUAUAUAUCCUUUUUUAACUGAGGAGUAACCAAAAUGUACUGUAGGAUAAGCUCUAGGGGCAAACUUAUCCGAUUUUUUGACAUCAGUAGCAAAAUAAAGGGAUCCAAAUACUGUAAAGUAAUGCAAAACAGGUACCUUAUGAAGCAACCUUUUAAAAGGGGAAGCACUAUUUAGUAGGACAGAAGGUAAUUUAUUUAAGAUACAAACAACAAUAAACGCACACUCACCUCAAGAUUUAAGUGGAAUAAAAGCUUGAAACCUUAAAGAUCUGGCCAUACCAAGAAUACCCCUGUGUCUUCUCUCAACAACUCUCCUUUGUUGAGGAGUAUAGACAUAUGAACUUUGAUGAAUAAUACUAUACUGUUUAAACAAGAUAGCAACUUGACAGUUAAAGAACUAUGUUUCAUUGUCAGUUCUGAAGCAUUUCACCCUGAUACCAAAUUGUUUUUUCACUAUUAAGAUAAAGUCUUUAAGCGGAACAAUAUAAUUACCCGUGCUAAUCAAUAAAAAAAUUCAGGUAUAGCUAGAAAAAUCAUCUACCAAAGUCAAGAAAUAUCUUUUGUCAUCAUGAGUAGCUACUCUAGUACCCCCCAUAUAUUCAACAUGGAUAAUAUCAAAUGGACAUACAAAAAUCAAAGUACUUUCAGAAAAUGGAAGCGUUGUUUGUUUUGCAAUAAGACAAACACUGCAUUGGUGAUCUUUUAUCUUGAUAUUAUGUAAGCUUCCAACUCUACUAAGAAUGGAAAUGAGAGCAUGACCUAACCUGUUAUGCCAUAAGCUUGUUACACAAUCAUCACUACUAGAAGAAGUAGAACUUCCACAGUUAUUUAUACUAUCAAAGUCAAUAGACAGAGACACAAGACUAGAUGAUUCAUUUGUAGCAGUUAGAGUUUGAGAAACAUCAAUCUGCAGUGAAUAUAAAGUGCGAUCUUAUCUACUAAUCCCUAAUACCUUCCAGUAAAUAUUUUCUAAAAAAUGCAGAAUAAAGGAAGAAUAGAACACCACAUUCGGGGAUUCUAGUUAGUUGCGAUACUGACACUAAGUUGUACUUAAAAUAUGGUAUGAACAACACAUCUUUCACAGUCUUAUCUUCAAGAACUGAAGAUUCACCAAUAUGACUAAUGGGAACUUGACCUCCAAUAGAUAAAUUAACUUGUUUACUGUAUUUUUCAUUCAAUUCUAUAUAUUGUUUCAUUUCGCUCAAGCUAUAUAAUAUAUGAUUCGAUGCUCUUAUGUAAACUAUCCAUUCUAUACUAGACAUUUUUAACAUGAGUGCAGAGAUAGUACCUGAACUAGUAAAGCUAGUGGUUGCAAUAUUAGCAGUUGCAUCAGUUUCGUUGCCUUUGCUAAGCAUUUUGAUAAUCUAAUCAUACUAAUCUUGAGUGCACAAAGAACCUAGAGAAGGUAUUCCUACAAAAGAAAAGGAUUUAAGAGCAUUGGGUAUCUUCAAGUCUUAAAGACAUGACCAGGGAUAGUGACAUUACUAGCAUGAUUAUGAGAAUGCCCCCUUCUUUAUUUUCCCUAUCAAAUGGAUAACCAUUUAAUUUAUAUAAAUUUCUCUGGUAUGCCCAUUGAGAUGACAACACUCACAAACUAGAUGGCCUCUUCCAUAAGCACCUCUUUGCUCAUAGUGUAUUUAGACUAGUGAUUGAAACCAAUACUAUCAGUGUGUCAUCUGAUACUACUCCCUAGUCAUAACACGAUGCUUAGAGUCAUAAGUGUCCCCAAGCUAACUCAUUGUUGAACAUAACAUUUAAAUACUGAAAGUAAUAUCAAACUACUUGGUGAAAACUAAUUGAAAGUAAACUUAAAAUAAAUAGUAAUUGGUUCAACUUAAUCACUGUCUGAAAUACCCCAAUAACUAAAAACAUGUCUAACUAUCUGAAAACCUCUAAAACAUAAAGAGUUGUUUGGACAAGUCCCCAACUAACUCCAAUUGACUGAAAUAAAAUAAACUAUUAAAAGAAAUGACUGAUAACUAGUCCUCGAAUGAUAAGGACUCACCACGACUGCUGCUGAGUAGUACUAGAACAUGCUAAGUACAAUCUGGGUGCUGAGUGUCCAAACUUAUAUUAUGAGACAAAAUAGCAUAAAAAAAGGAUACAAUUAGUACUUUGAAUGUACUGAGUAUGCAAGAUGGAAAACUAACUAGUAUGAGCUGAGCAUGGAUGCAUGAACAUGUAAACUGAAUGCAAGACCAACUAUAAUACUGUAUGAAUAAAACUGAAUAACUGUAUACGAGGUCAUGCAUAUCUGAACUGAACAUAAACUAAAAAUUGAUUGAGGACUGUGGGAGCUAACAAUAGCCAACACAGCCUAAUCUGAGCUAAUUGAGGUCCAACCUUAACCCUAGUUGGAAGGGUGUUAGUUCCGUGCCAAGAGUACUAACACUGGCUGGAGUAAAUUAUUAAACUGAUGUCUCAAACGACUAGGUCAUUAGUCCUCAACUAGCGGGAGAGACCUCAUAACCUAUGAUGGUACCGUAGUUCUAGAACAUAGGGACUUCUACUAAAGGUCUCAGUCCUCAACUGAUGGGUUCACCUUCAUCCCUACAUUUGCUCGGUACUAAGUACUACUCUCAAUUAAAGUAACACUGGUACUGAUAAAUGCUUAACAUGAUCUGAUAUUGUUAUACGCUCAACAUGAUAACAUUUUAAAUGCAACACAAUCAUGACCUGAAUGAUAUUGUAAGACCCCGUAAAACUCUAAGCUUAAUUCAGUCCAUUAAUGCUUGUCAAGGGGUCCCAGACUUAGAAUAUUUUGGCUAAGUAUACAGACUUAGUUUUAUUUUAGCCUUUGAAGAAUGGCAAUCUUAUUUCGCGACCUUCACGUCCAAUAAAGGUCGAUAUUUAAGUUAACACAUGAUCAAAAAGAUUUAUAGGGGUUUUCAGACGAGUUUUGAAUUUUUUGGACCUCAUUUAGAGCUUGUUUGAAAUCCCAAAAUAGUGAGUCGAUACAAUAUUGGUGCAUCGUGUUGCCAAUCGCAUCGACAGAUAAAAUUAACCUCAGCUCAAGCCAAAUUCUAGUGAACCGAUGCAAUAUCAGCGCGUCGCAUUGGUUAUCGCAUUGGUACCCUCGACGCGCCGCAUUGGCUAUAGCAUUGCUGGGCAUAUUUUUUGUCUUUUAAACCCGUAUCCUUAAGGAUAAUUAGGUCUUUUUUUCCCGACCUUCAGCCCUCAUAACACGAAAUUUAGCCCUCUUUUGGCUAAUGAUAGUCAUUCUUUCAUAAUUGCUCAAGAACAAGAAAACCCUAGGUUAUUAAUUUCAAAUCAAGAACUCAAGAUUUCUCCUUUAAGUUUUCAGAACUCUUCAACAAAGGUAUGUAAAGUGUUCAUCCAAGGGUCCCUUCCACCCUUGGAGCUCAAGAAACCCUUUUUAAAAUAUGAGUUUUGAAUUCCAUGUUAUGGGUCUGAUUGUACACAUGUAAAUGAUGUGUUAUGAUUUCCAAGAUUGAAUCUUUAUUGAAUUUUCAUGACUUUGUGAUAGUAUGUGGAUUGAAAUCCUUAAAUUUGAAGUUCUUGAUAUAGCCAUGAUGUAUUAGUUGUUGAUUCAGGCCCUAGAAUAGGGUAUGCCUUUUAUGUGUUUGUCAAAAUACCUAAGUGAAUAAGAAUUUGAAUUAUGACCCAUUUGUGAUCCAAGUGAUGAACUCAUGAUGUACCCACAUGUUCAAAAUGACUUCCAUGCUAAAGCUAUGUCUUGCAAUGAUUUGAGGAAAUAUUCAUGAGAUUGAAAUUGUGAAUUUAUGAUAUAUUGCAUGUUUUCCCUAUCCAUGUACAAGUUUAUGACCUUCAAGUUCUUGUGAAAUCCCUCAAUGAUUGUAUUGUGAAUUGAUGACUAUGUUCACGUAUUCAAGAAUGGUUAUGUCUUAUUAUUUUCAUGCUAUCAAGUCCUGAGGGUAUUUAAUACCCGAUAAUUUAGUUGUAUGCCUAGAGCCAGUAUCAGUUACAGAACAGUCUAAAUUAUGUCACGAUCAGUAGAACUCUAGUUUAGUUACAGAACUCAAGAAAACUCAGUAAUCUCAGUGUCAGUCCAAUCCCAUUCAGUAUUCAGUUAAAUCCUCAGUAAACUCAGUCAGUUAUCAAAAUUCAAUAGCAUUCCGCCAGUCAACAAAACUCAGUGAACUCAGUCCAGUUUAGCUCAGUAUAAUCAGUUCAGUGUCUAUUCAGAUAGGAGUAAGAUUCAUCACCGAGAGAACCCAAGGAUGGGAACUCACCUGCCAGCAAAGGGUGUGAUUCUUAGAAGCAAUCCUUGCUUUCCAAAACUACAUAGCCAACGUAGGUUGAGACAUUAAACCUUCUAGAUGAGGGUUGAUGAGGUGGCUUAAACUGGUAGACGAGGGUCCUAUCAUUCUCAUUAGAGUACCUGAUAGAUGAGGGUCACUCACAACUUUCCCUUACCAGUGGCGCGGUAUUGACACCCUUCUAAUUGGGGUUAUAGAUUGGACCCCAACUCAGCUAUAUUAUCUUAUUUGGGGUAUGUCGGUUAGAUGAAUACCUCCCAUCGUCUUAGUCUCAGUCUUCAGUAAAGAACUUAGAUAGUUCUAUAGAUUUUAGGACUGUCAGAUGCAGUCUCUCAGCUCAGUAUAAAACUCAACUAGUUUUAUCAGAAUUAGGACUGUUAGACACAGUCACUCAGUAAUCAGUAUAUCAGUUAUCAGUAUAUCAGUUAUCAAUAAUCCAUGUUGUCAGUAACCCAUAAUCCAUAUGAUUUUAGUUAUAGUUAUAUAUUCAUGCAUGUAUCCUCACAUAGUCAUGUUCAUGUUAUUCAGUCAGUUAUAGUUUAUGCAUAUGAACCCUUAUAUUCAGCCUUACCUCACUUUCGUACCAGUAUAUUCACAUGUACUGACGCAUGUUACCUUACUUUUGCACUAUGGUAUUUUAUACCAUAGGUUUGGACGCUCAGGUUCCUGACCAUGCAUAGACAACUUCAAGUUCAGUCAACAGCAGUACACUAGACGUGAGUCCUCAUCAUUCGAGGAUGUUUUAUUAUUUUAUUAUUUUAGUACUUAGUCAUUUUAGCAGUCGGAGUUAGUUGGGGACAUGCCCCAUCAACUCUUUAUUCAGAGAGUUUAGAGGCUUUCAGACUAGAUGUUCAGACUAGAUAUUCAGACAUCAGUAUUUUCAGUAUUUAUGUUCAGUUUGAUAUUAUUAUACCUUGUUCAAACAUUAUUCAGUUUUGAACCUUAUGGUAGAUUUUUGCCAGAUUUCCGUAUUUAUCUUAGUUUUAUUGUUAUUACAUUAUUACUAUAUGCAGUGCUCACUGCAGGUACCAGUCAUGGGUUAACUAGUGGUUCUUCGGGAUUAUUAGCAGCGUAUAGCGUCCGAGCUACUAGAAUCGGGGCAUUACAAACUUGGUAUCAGAGCCUAAGGUUCAACAGUGUCCUAGGAAGUCUAAAAAGCCUCAUCUAGUAGAGUCUUGUGCACGAGUGUGUUGCACGUCACAUUUAUGUACAUGACACUACGAGAUAUUUUAGGAACAGUUUCCCUUCUUUUAGUAUUUAUGUCAUGCAAGUGAGCAUGAGCUCAAAUUUGACUCUCAGUCUAAUCCAUUUAUCCCUUUCAUUCAUAAAACAUGCCUUCCAAAAAGACUAACGAAAGGAGGAACGGGAAUCAAUCAACAUCUCAUCCCAAUCAGGCAGAUCCCUUGGACGAACACGUCUCUUAUGCAGAGUUCAUAGCUGUAUUCACUACUCUUUCUAAUUCAAGUGUUGCUCAAAAUAAACGCCCAGCUUCCAUUUCGGCCAACCCAGCCCGAAUGAACCCUUUUUUUUUUACCGGGUCUAAGACUGAUGAGGACCCUCAAGAAUUCCUUGAUCAGGUGCAAAAGGUUACAUAUAUUAUGGAGGUAACUGUUAGUGAGAGUGCUGAGCUAGCUGCAUGUCAGUUGCAGGAUGUGGAUCACAUAUGGUUCAAGUAGUGAAAAGUAGAGAGGGCCAUAGAUGCAGGGUCCGUUGAGUAGGAGGAGUUUGCCAAUGCCUUCUUGGAUAAAUUCUUUCCCUUAGAGCUGAGAGAAGUUAAGGUGUUAGAGUUUAUCAACCUCAGACAGAUCAACAUGACAGUUGAAGAGUAUUCUCUUAAGUUUACUCAAUUAGCUAGAUACGCUCCUCAUGUAGUGACAGAUAGCAGAGCUAAGAUGAGUAAGUUUAUUUUUGGAGUGAAUGAUAGUGUGGUUAAGGAGUGCAGGACCGCGAUGCUGAUUAGUGAGAUAGAUAUAGCCAGGCUUAUGGUCGAUGCUCAAUAGAUAGAUAAGCAGAAGAUUAAGAAGAGGGAAAAGCAUAAUAAGAGAGCAAGGUCAUGUAGUUUCCACUUUGCUCAGCCUAAGUCAGACGGUGGUAAGCAUUUUUAGUUUCACCCAAAGUCUUCAGUUCCAGCUCCUUCCACAACCAGUGCUCUAGUUCCUAAGUUCAGGAAUGGUGACAAAGACAGGGCGCAAGGCUCUAAGUCUUAGGGUAGUGUCAGCACUGCCCGAACCUAUCCUCUUUGUUAAACUUUUGGCAAACACCAUCAGGGUAUUUGCAGAGCUGGCAGUGAUGUUUAUUUCAGAUGUGGCAAGCCAGGCCACAACGUUAGAGAUUUUCCUCAGUCAGGUUUUAAGGGUCAGCAUAACCGUUCCUCAGCUCAGUUUGGUCGCCCAAAUCAGCAGGGUGCCACCUCCAGCGCUACCAGUGGGCAACACCCAAACAAACUCUAUGCCAUUCAGUCCAGAUAGGAUCAGGAAAAUUCUCCUGAUGUGGUCAUUGGUACGUUACAGAUAUGUCAUUUGCAUGUUUAUACUUUGCUAGAUCUAAGAGCUUCCUUGUCUUUUGUUACUCCUUAUACAACAGUUCAUUUCGGAGUCAGUCCUAAAAUUCUAGUAGAGCCAUUCUCAGUAUCUACCCUACUGGGUAAAUCUAUCAUAGCCCGACGGGUAUACAAGAACUAUUUGAUUAUGGUAUCUUAGAAAGUCACUUUAGCAGACUUAGUCAAAUUAGAAAUGACUGAUUUUGAUAUCAUUCUCGGUAUGAAUUAGCUUCAUUCAUGCUAUGCCACAGUCGACUACAGAAAUAGAAUUGUCCAGUUUCAUUUUCUGAAUGAACCCGUCCUAGAGUGGAAGGAUAGUACUUUAGCAUUCAAGGAUCAGUUUGUUUACUACCUAAGGGCAAGAAAAAUGAUAUCUAAAGGAUGUGUCUAUCAUCUUGUUCGAGUUGAGGACUCUAGCUCUGAAACUUCUAAUCUUGAAUCAGUUUCAGUAGUGAAUGAAUACUCAGAUGUCUUUCCCGAAGAUCUUCUAGGAAUUUCUCCUGAAAGGGAAAUAGACUUCAACAUUGACCUUCUUCCAGAUACUCAACCCAUAUUUAUUCCGUCGUAUAGAAUGGCACCAGUAAAACUCAAGGAGCUAAAAGAACAGUUAAAGGAUCUCCUAGAUAAGGGAUUCAUUAGACCCAGUGUGUCCCCGUAGGGUGCACCAUUUUUAUUUAUACGUAAGAAAGAUGGUUCUCUCAGAACAUGCAUAGACUAUCGUCAGCUAAAUAAAGUCAUGGUUAAAGAUAGAUAUCCUCUUCCCCGAAUCGAUGACCUGUUUGACCAACUUCACGGUGCCAGUUACUUCUCUAAGAUAGACCUCAGAUCAGGCUAUUAUCAUCUCAGGGUUAGAGAAUGUGAUAUCCCAAAGAUAUCUUUCAAAACUCGGUAUGGUCACUUUGAAUUCUUAGUCAUGUCCUUUGGUCUUACCAAUGCCCAAGCUGCCUUCAUGGAUUUGAUGAACCGUGUGUUCAAGCAAUACUUAGAUAUGUUCAUCAUAGUCUUCAUAGAUAACAUCUUUUUCUAUUCUCGCAGUGAGCAUGAUCAUGCAAACCAUUUCAGAAUAGUAUUAUAGACCCUCAGAAAUCAUUAGUUAUUCUCCAAAUUUAGUAAGUGCGAAUUUUGGCUAAGGUCAGUAGCAUUCCUUGGUCAUAUAGUUUCCAGCGAUCGCAUUAGAGUUGAUCAUCAAAAGACCGAAGCAGUGAGAAACUAUCUCAGAUCCAUUUCUCCGACUGAUAUCAGGAUUUUCUUGGGUUUGGAUGGCUAUUACAGACAGUUUAUUGAAGGAUUUUCUUCUAUUACAUCUCCUAUGUCCAGAUUGACUCAUAAAAAAGUCAAGUUUCAGUGGUCAGAUUCAUGCGAGAAGAGUUUUUAGGAGUUGAAGACUCGACUCACCUCAGCCCUCAUUCUAACUCUUCCAGACGGUUCAGAUGGGUUUGUUGUGUACUGUGAUGCAUUUAGAGUAGGCUUGGGUUGUGUCCUCAUCCAGUAUGGUAAAGUCAUAGCCUACGUCUCCAAACAUCUUAAGCCCCAUGAGAAGAACUAUUUGAAUCAUGAUCUUGAGUUAGCAGCAGUAGUGUUUGCCUUGAAGAUUUAGAGGCAUUACUUGUAUGGGGUGUAUGUGGAUGUGUUCACAGAUUACAAAAGCCUUCAGUACGUAUUAUCUUAGAAAUACUUAAACCUCCAUCAGAGAAGGUGGUUAGAGCUCUUAAAAGAUUAUGAUAUGAGUGUCCUUUAUCAUUCAGGCAAGGCCAACUUAGUGGCCGACGCUCUCAGUAGACUGUCUAUAGGUAGUGUUGCUCACGUUGAGGACAGUAAGAAGAAGCUAACUCAGAAAGUUCAUCAGAUUGCCCGACUAGGUGUCCGCUUGUCAUCUGGACACCUGGACCCACUAAAAAGCAACAUUUUAAAUCCUUUUUGGUGAGUGUAACACACUCUCCCCCACGUUAGCUGCCAUGUCAGCUGCGACACCUGCCAUGCCCGACACGUCUGCCACGUCAUUUAAAAAAUAAAAAAUAAAAAAAAUUAAAAAAUAUUACAUUAAAUUCCAAGUCAUUUUUAAAAUGAUAUAUAACAAAUUAAAUAUUAAAAUUAAUUUAAUUAAAUAAUAAAAAUUUAUAAAUUGUAGAAAAUUUUGAACAAUCAUGUUUUUAUUUUUUCUCACAAAUUAAACAUCAAAUCCAUUCUAAAUAAUUAAAAUUCUACUCCAACUAAUUUAAACUUUUAACUACAAAUUCAUAUAUAAAAACAUAAUAAUUUUUUGAUUUUUAAAUUUGAAUAUUUUUAACCAAUUCACAAAAAGUUUAAUUUUUUUCAAGAUAAGUUCACUAAUUUUUUUCAAUAUUCACUAUCACUCACUUUCAAUUUAAAUUUUAAUUCCCAAAAAAAUAAAAAGAUUUCAAAUUUAAAUUUUAGUUAAAAAAUGAAAAGAAUUGAAUUGAGAGGGAAAAUUAAAAUAGAAAACAAAAAGUGAAUGUGUGAAUUAAAAAGGUACUUUCUAUGCUUGCGACAAAAUUGAUGCUUCCGUCGCUAAUCCGUCACUAAUCAGUGACAGAAAAUAAUCUGUCGGUAAAUUUCGUCGCUAAAUGCUAUUUUUUUUUGAGUGGGCAGGAAUGGAUGAUUUUGAGAGUUGAUGAAUAUUUCAACCUGAGAGAGAGGUUGAAGAGAAUUUUAAAAAAUAUUUUCCUUACUUUUUGAAGGAAAGUUAUUUUUCUUAAAAUUUGAGGAAAAUAAGUUGAUUUUAAAAAUAUUUUUAAAAAUAUUUUUAAAUUAAAAAAAAUGGAGAGAAAAAAGGACCCUUUUUUAUUUUUUUUUAAAAUUUUAAAAAUAUUUUUAAAUUAUUUUUAAAAUUUUAAAAAUAUUUUUAAAUUAUUUCUAAAUUUUUAAAUUUAAAAAGAUGAAAGAAAAAAAAAGGACCCUUUUUAAUUUUUAUUUAAAUUUUAAUAUUUUUUUAUCCCUUUUAAUUAUUUUAAUGUAAAAUUGGCCAAAAAUUAACCCCACUCGCACCCUCAGGCGAGUGGCUACACUCUCUUUGUCCUAGUCACUAUGACCUUGCCACAUAGGCUAGGUCAAUGGUCAAAGGAUGCAAAAUGUUAUUUUUUGAUGGGUUCAAGUGUUCAGAUGAAAAACAUAUAAGUAAAAGUGUCCAACUUACUAAAAUGACAUAGUACAGGGGUCCAAAAGGUCAUUUUGCCUUAUUAUUAUCAUCAUCUCAACUUUGUUACACCUAUGCAUUAUAUUAACACAUCUAUUUCUCGCUUAUUUUCAUUCUAAAUCUAUUUGAGUUUCAUAAAUCAAGUAAAAUUUUACAUAUUUUCAUAUUUUCAAAUAUAUUCAUAUUCACAUUUGUCUUAAAUAAAUUAUUUGACAUUUUAAAAUAUUCUUAUAAAUUUUAUUUACAUACUCAACUCUAUAAGUUUAAAGAUAAUAAAUUUUCUCCUUUAUAUUAUCACAAUUAUAAAGGAGAUACUUCCUUGUACAUGGUAGCGUCAUGUUUACUAUACCCUAAAUUUUCUUCUAAAUAAUAAUAAAAAAUAAUAAUAAAAGUUUUCCUAUCACCGUUUUAAGCAAAUAACGAAUUAAAAAUUUUUCUUAAUAUUUUCUUAAACUAAGUGUAAGGACUAUCUUCAGAUAGGCUCUUAGGGGUGUUUAACACCUUCCCCUCGAGUAAUCAAAAUUCUUACUCAGAAUCUUGAAAUAUUUUCGAUAGACAAAACAGAGUUUUACAAUAACAUUGAUUUUUCCUAAUUUUUCUAAAAAUUUAGGUGGCGACUCUAAAAAUGACUUUCAAAACUCAAGUCAUAAACACAACCACAUAUUGUGUGCUGUUUCGAUCAGUUCAAAAUAGGGCGUGACGGAAUGACGACUCUGCUGGGGACUUAACGAAUUUAGGUUUUAACCUUAACACGGUUAGUUUAGGAUUUUGAUGCUCUUAUUGUAUUAUUUGCUUUACAUGUAUUCUUAUCAUGCUUUGUGUGGAAGGACGCUAGUCGAAUUCAAACUGAUGUUCUUUAUUUCCUUGAAUAACACUACCUGUAUUACUUUAUCACUUGCACUUUUUUCAUCUCGUACACAAUUCAUACACUAAACACGCGAGGAGUGUACUGUACUCCUCCGAACCUUUUUUGGAUUCCUUAGUUUCAGAGUUGGCGCAAUUAGGUUAGUAUUCUGUCUCGCAGUUGUUCAGUCCCACUCUUAAACAUUUAGGGAAAAAUUCUACUCUAUAAAUAGGUCGUAUUGCAUACACCUUAGGUGAAAUGGUCCAAGGCAUCGUUUUCACAGUUAGGAAGCCAUCUUUCAUGUCAACGGGUUCUUCAUGAAUCCAACGAAACUAACUUUGUGAAUGAAUAAUUGAUCUAAAUGUUAAGACCAUAAUAAAUUCAGGACAUUAAAUUUACCUUGCCUUUUCUUUGCACAGAUGGAAAUCAACUAGAAUUUGGCCAACAUCCGUAUGAUGUCCGAUGUUCCACGGGUCCUGACACAUCGAUGAGGGAACAUCUGAGUAGCUCACGGGGAGGAAGUGAUGGAACAUUUGGGAUCAUUGACUGAUCUAAUGGAGCUAAGGGCAGACGAGCUGCUCAUCCGAUUGCUGGUCGAAUUCUGGGAUCCAACCACAGUCACUUUCAGGUUCACAGACUUCGAGAUUACACCUACCCUGGAAGAAAUUAGUUAGAUGGCUAACUUUCCGUUGAUGGGGCGGGUGCACUACUUUAGGAAGCACUUUUCUUCGCUUGAUAUGAUUGAGAGUUGUCACAGGUUUGAGGAUAGUCGAGGUAGGCUGGGUAAGCCUAGGAUAUCUUUUUGAGAGGUUCGGUCAGAGGGAAAGCUAUGACCAAUUUCAAAGUGAAUUCUUCUUUUCCAGGAUCGAUUGGGAGAGGCACAAAGCCAUUAUUUUCAUGGUAGCAUUCCUGGGCAUUAUGGUAUUUCCAAUGAGAGGGAAUCGAAUCAACAUUCACCUACUUCCUAUGGUUAUGUUCAUAUGCAGGGGAUAAGUCAGAGUAACGACCGUGCCGAUGAUUUUGGCAGAAGUUUUUUUAUCAUUGUCUACAUGCUCUAGAGGGUACGAUUUCUUUAGGAGUUGCAAUCUAAUGCUUCAAGUAUAGGCGUUAGAAUAUUUUUAUCGUAGAAACAUGCACAAUGGCAUCAGGGAGAUAGGAUGUAUCCAGAUCUAUAUCCACACACUCAGGAUGACUAUGUGGGACAAUCUAAAUGAUGAGGAGAGUGGAACACCUUCUUCACCCACCUCACCGGUAACUUUAUCCAGUGGAGGCUACCAUGGGUCAAGGGUAGGGUGAUGCUGAGGAGACAUUACUGUUACUUUCUUAAAUUGAUUGGGUUAUAGGGGAUCCAGCCGUAUGUACUGUUUAGGGUUCUCCAACAGUUCGAUAUGAUCCAAAAUUUCCCCCUAUGGUCGAACAUGGUAUUAGCAAAAGGAGACUAUGAGAGAAGAGUCCCCAUCGAAAGACUCAACAAUUUGAUCGAAGGAUGCGGGGAAAUUUUCAGGUUAGGCAUGAGAGUCAAUCCGACUGCACCCUAGAGUACUAUACAUGGUAUAUGUCAGGAGGAAUUUUGGCCUGACCAAGCUAUGAAUCACUCCAAGGGAUUGCAGACAUUUACAGAGUAGAUUAGAUUUGGGACCAGCUGCUGUACUUCAUGCCCAUAUCCACCGCCAUGUACCAACAGGUAAUACCAAGAUCGGUAGACCAUCUUAUCCCUGCAGUGGAUGAUAGAUCCGAAGAGGAAAUAGAAGAGGACCCGAAGGAACACUUGGAAGAAGAUUCGAUCGAUAAAAUGGAAGAACAAGAAAGAGAGUUGACAGAUGCAAUGGAAAAGGAUAUAGAGGAAGAUGAGUAUGGACCGAUAGGGUUGAUGACGAGAAGGACGGAGAUCACCAGGGGCAGCAGCUGGAUGGGUCCCAGAGUACCACCCGAGGCCCUACUUUGACCUGGAUGAUGAUGACGAUGAUCCCUCCACCGAGCCAUAGGAUCUAUUUGCUACCUUUGAUUUCUAAAAGGUCUUGUACAACCUACCAUGAUGAUUGUACUUUUGGCUUUCAUUUUUUGUUUUCCCUAAAAGGUCUUGCAUGAUCUCUGCUGAUAUUUCUACGAUAAUAUGUCUUCCAUGAUGUAAUCCCUAAUUCAAGGCUUAUCCCUCUUUAUAACUCGAGGCUUCACACUCCCCCCUAAUAUUAAUCAAAGAACAUUGAUCUUCAAUCUAAAAACAAUUUAAACUUUGGAUCAAUUAAUCAUGAUUGCAUCAUAGGCCCACCUCUAACAAAAAGAGGCUAACACGUUUGGGUGUCGCCAACUUAUCGUAUAUAUGUGUUACAUACUUGCUAAAUUUUUGGUAUCUCAUAAAUUAACAUGGUUUCCUUUUUCUUUUUAUUUCUUUUUUUGUUUUAUAGUUCCCCAAAACAAAGAAAGUUCAUUUGUGUCGACCGAUAAACUGGCGGAAUACCAAUUUAACCUUCGAUCUAAAGAUAAAAUUACUGACAAUGAUAAGGCUGCAAUGAUACCGAUGGAUGACACCGAAAGCUCUCAAAGGCUUUCAGACACCCAGAAUGACGAGCAAAUGGCUAACAUGGCGUAAGAAAUCAAAGUCUUGAAAGAAGAGCUACGCUAAAUGCGGGACCUAACCAAGCUUACUACAACUAGAUUUCUCACUAAAUUACAGGGUUCAAAUGUUAGAUUACCUCCGGCCAGCCUCGCUAACCCAACGAAUCUACUGCAUGCUCAAGCCCUGCCUGCUAUUCAACCCACUGUCGGGACUACACCUGGUUAUUCGUUUCCUGCUCAAAACUUUACUGUUCCAGUCCAUCCAUAAAUGCAGUACAUACCCAAGGCACAUGCCACUUGUUAGAUACCUGUGCCACUGGUACAUGCUACCAAAGCUCCUACUUUCGCAAUAUCCAUAACUGUUAAGGUGCCAUAUGAGGUGGAUCGGUAUGCAGGAUUAGGAAUGGAUAUCUAAUCAAGCAAAGAAGGAUCGAUAGUAGCCUAACUCGAAAGUUUAAAGAGGGCAUUUAGAAACAUGCAACUCACCAGAGGGACUGAAAUAUGCAUGGUGUUGGAGGACCGAGGUUGCUAGGAUCCAGCCUCCACUAGACGAAAGUGAGCUUUCCAAGUCUUUUAUACGAGCUCAAGAGGUCAUUUAUUUUGAUAAGAUGAUGUCAAUGAUGGGCAAAAAGUUUGCAAAAUUAGUUAAGAUGAGGGAUUUUAUAGAAAAAGGCAUCAAGUCAAGGAAGAUCCAAUCUGUGAUUGCACCGCAAGCCACAAGUAAGGCCAUAAAAUCUGGUUCCAUUGGUGGUACUAAGAAAAAAAAAGAAAUGUCUCGCUAAUUUUCAUAAAACGAAAAAUCUUGUACAAAAGCUAGUAUAAUGCGUAGGAAUAAUUCAUUUAUUUAUUUUUACUCAUUUUAUCACUUAUGUAUAAAAAAUAUAUUUACCCAAAAUAUAUAUAUUUUUUGCAUGUCAAAUAUAAGGGAAGGAGAAUUAGGACUAGAAGGGGGUAAACUUAGAAUAAGGGACGAAUAUAAGGGACAUUAAUCAACUUUAAUGAGUUAUAAGCCCACUUCCCCACCCCCCCAAAAAAAAGUUGAAGAAUGGUUACUUCAAUUAUAAAAAUUAUCAAAUACUUUCAAAAGCAAAAAAUAAUUUAAAUAUUAUUUUGAUCAAAUUAUAACCUUACCCAAACACUCUUAAUAGCCUCCAACGCGUCUGUCAAACACAGAAGCACGCAUCUUGUUUUUCCCAAGAAAACCAGCGUAUGGUCCUUUCAGAUUACCCAAAAACUCACCAAGAACAUUUUCCUUCUUCUCCAUUCUCUCUCCCUCAUCUAUCACCACCAAAAAAAUGGAAACCCUAAGACCUCUGUAGUUGCCGUCGACUGCCACCCUUACCACGCGGGAAUCUCUAUUUCUCAUCACCCAUCAACUCGUGAAUCCACAAAACACCAAAAAAGCAAGCCCCAAAUUCAUACAACAGAAUAA